rnacentral:lncRNA from 1 species
CUUUGCCAACUGAGUUAGAAAAGAUUCAUAAUGUAUUCCAUAUAUCUAUGUUACGUCGUUAUCGUUCCAAUCUUUCACAUGUGAUUUCACCGACAGAGGUUGAGAUUCAGCCAAACAUGACUUAUGUUGAAGAACCGGUAAAAAUUUUAGAUAAAGAGAUCAAGCAACUAAGGAACAAAAGUAUUGCACUUGUGAAGGUGUUAUGGAAUAGGCAGGGGUUGAUGAGGCUACAUGGGAGCUCAAAGACGCUAUGCGAAAACAGUACCCAAAUCUUUUCACAGGUAAGAUUUUCGGGGACGAAAAUCCCUAAAAGGGGGGAGAAAUGUAACAUCCUGAUUUUGGGCCUAGUCAGAAUAGUGGUUUCGGGACCACAAAUUCGAUAAGGAAAUAUUUAUUUUUACUAUAUUUUUAUGGCCUACAAUUUCACGGAAUGAUUUCAUGAAAAUUUCGUUCAAAAAUUUCGACAUUUGGACACUCAAUUUAGUCAAAAGGGCUAAAUUGUAAAACGUGCAAAAGUUAAGUUUUAUAUGUUAAAGGUAUUUAAUUGUUAUGGAACUAUAAAUUAGGGGUCCUUAUAUGGUAAUUAGACCAUUAGUUAAUGAUGGACAAAAAUGGACAUGAGAUAAGUGAAAUAGGAUUUUUUUUAGUAAGGGCAAUUUUAGUCAUUUAGUAAAUAAAUGAAUUAAAAAAGGAAAAAGAUGUGAAAAUUUUGUGUUCAUCAUCUUUGCUUGCUGCCAAAUUUGAAAGAAGCCAUAGCUAGGGUUUCUUCACUUUCUCAAGCUCAUAGUAAGUGAUUCCAAGCCCUGUUUUUAAUGUUCUUUACGUUUUGGAAUCCCGGUAGCUUAAUUUAGCUUAUUCUAGCAAUAAUUUAACCUAGGGUUUAUAUUUGAAAAAAUACCCAUAGGUUAAAUAUGUUUAUUUUGAUGUUUUAUGAUAGAAUAUGAAGCUAUAAAUUAUGUUAAACAACUUUUGCUAGUCGAUUUUAAGUGAAAACGAGUAAAUUGACAUAAUCGGUAAAAUAUAUAAUGUUCAUAAGUAAGUGAUAGAGUAAGAAUUUGAUGUUGUCAUAGAAAGGAAAAAUGUUCAUCAUGUUAUGAAACAUAAGAAUAAGAGAUGAAGUUUAAUUUCUGAGCUUUGGGGCAAAAGUGUAAUUAUGUAAAAGUUUAGAGACAAAACUAUAAUUUUGCCAAAAUUAAAUCAAGGACUGUUUUGAUGAAUGUGAGUAUCAAAUUAGCUAAAUUUUCUAUUAUAGAUCAAGAAGAACGAAAUCCGGAGCUAGACCGGGGAAAGAAAAAGAUUGAGGACUAAAGUGUUAGAUUUGAUCACAUUUUUUGUAUCGAGGUAAGUUUACGGUAAAUAAAUACAAUAUUUUAAUAAUUAUUAUUAAUGUUGUUAUUUUCUAGCAAAUAUUUAUUUAUUUCAUGAAUUUAUUUAAUGUUGACUCAAGAAUGAGAUGACAGAAAAUCAGUGAUAAAAUGUCCCGUUGAAACAUAAGGAAUGUAUCGGAUACAAAUGUCAUGACAUUUGGGUAAAGAGGUCCCAUGUAAGACCAUGUCUGGGGCAUGGCGUUGGCACCGAGAUAAGAGGUCUCAUGUAAGACCAUGUCUGGGACAUGGCGUUGGCACCGAGAUAAGAGGUCCCAUGUAAGACCAUGUCUGGGAGAUGGUGUUGGCAUCGAGAUGAGAGGUCCCCCGUAAGACCAUGUCUGGGACAUGGCAUGGGCACCGAUAUGAGAACUCUCAUGUAAGACCAUAUCUGGGAUAUGGCAUUGGCAAUACAAAAAACAUCCCAUAUAAGACCAUGUCUGGGAUAUGGCUUUGGCAUGUUAUUAUCAGAUAUGAGACCCAAGUAUCCUUAAUAUUCCAAUCUGGCUCAACGGGCUAGAAAACAGAUUAUGUUCUAUGGAAGUUCAAGUAAAAGUAUAAUUAGCAACUUCAAGUGAGUUAUAAGAGUUAAGAAUAAGUUAUGAUAUCAGUGAGAACCAAUAUUUCAGCAAGAGAAGAGUAAGUUGUAAUCUUAAGCUAUCUAAAUAGGUAAGUAAAUAAACAAGUAAAUGAGAGUAAGUAAAGAGGAAACUUAAGAACAUGAUACUUGCAUAUCAUUAUUUGUGUUAAAUGUUGUUAUUUAUUUACUUGUAAACUUACUAAGCUUUAUGCUUACUUCUUUUAUUUCUUUUUCUUUCAUAUAGUAUUAUCAAGCAUAGUCGGGAUCUUGAAGACGACAGAGAGCGUUCACACUAUCAACCACCACAACUCGGUAUUUUAAGACGAUAAAUGUUUCGAGCUAUGGCAUGUAUAGGGACUUAGUCAUUUCGAUUGUAUAUUCUUAAAUUAUGACCAAAAGAUGAUAUGUAAAUAUUUUAUGACGAAUAAUUAUUAAAAUAGUUAAGUAUGAAGGUGUUUGUUGUUAUAAAAGUCUAGGUGAUAAAUUAUGCAUAGAAAUCAUGAAAAAGUAAAAAUUGGCAGUGAAUCAGUUUUUAGACAGCAGUAGUGACGUGAUUUUGAAAAAUCACCAAGGAUAGUAGAAAAUGAAUUAGAAAGUGUAUAAGAUAUAGAAUUAAAUAUUAUUGAGUCUAUUUUCAUAGAAAAAUAAUAGUGUAGACAAAGAAAUUAUGUAUUCUGAGAUAUUUGCAUUUUAGUUAGACAAGGUCAAAGUGGUUUUCGGAAUCCCCUGUUCUAUGUUUGGAAAAUCAUUAAAAAUUUUAAAAAAAUAUUUAUGAGUUGUAAUUUAUAUUUCUAGAUUCCUUAUUGAGUAUAUUUUCUCUAGAAACAAGUUAGAACACCAUAUGAAGUCUGUACAAUGAGAUAAUUAAAUUUUAGUAACGAGAGGUUAGGACAGUCGGUCAGUGAAAUUGGGGAGACUUUAACUAAUAAACUGUACUAAUUGGCUAAACCAAAAAUUAUAAAAAAUUUAUGGUAAAAAAACAUAUGAGUUUAGUUUCAGAGAAAAUUUACGGAUCUAAAUUUUGAGUUUCUUAGCUCGAGUUAUAAUUAAUUUAGUAUCUUCUGUGCAGGUGGACAGCUUUGUUGUGAAUAGUGAAAUUAAUUUUAAAAGCAAAUUUUUAUGCCUUAAACUAGUAAGUUAAGUCAAGUAACGCCUCGUGCUCGACUCCGUCAAUGGUCUCGGGUAAGGGUGUUACACAUUAUUUAUCCUUUCAUUUCACAAUUUAUUUUUAAUUCAAUAUUUCAAACAUGAACAAGAGGUGAAUAUUUACCUUGUAACGAAAAUUAUUUAUUUAUUUUAGCAGAGGCCCAGUAGAUUAAACAGAAUACUUAGGAUAUACGUAACUGAUACAGAGGUGCAUUAUUAUGCACUAUUAAACAGAAAGCACUAAAGUAUUAUACAGAGAACAUAAAUGUGCUAAUAAUUAGAGAGCACUUAAUAUCCUAAUAGUUCUAAUCUCGUCUACUUGGGCAAGUUAUUUCAUGCAUGCAUAUCACUUUUACACUUUUCUCAUAAUGCUUUUACAUGCUUUACAAAUUAAUUCUUGUACCACUAAUCUAUAUAUUUAUAUCUUCUCUACCUUUAAUACAUGUAUUAUAUUUCAAAAUUCAUUAUUCAUCCAUAAUUUUCUAGUAAUCCAUAUCAUGUACUUCAUAUAUCACGUUUACAUGUUUUGCAAUUUAGUCAUCAGCACAAUAUUUCUUGUAGCAAAACAAUACACUUUCUAAAUAUGCAUGCAAAACAGAAUAAUAACCGGUCAUAAACCGACCAGACCAACAGGGCUUUCGUCUAACAUUAUAAUUAGCUAACAUUCUCACAACAUAAGAACUCUAUCAGAACUGAACAAUUACACAUAUAUAUCUCUGAGAAUAAAAGAAUAUAUAUAAUAUCCAGAAAAGAUCAUCAUGUUCAUUUCGACUGUAACCUUCACACACAGACAUCUUUACCACUUAAUUACCAUUUCUCUGACUAAUUCUGUUAUCACACUUUAUUCCAUUCACUAAAAAAAAAACUUUCAAUUAAUACAUACAUUCUUUUAAGUAUCAUACCUCAAUAUUUUGUCUCAUAAAAUUUAACUUCUUCUUUAUUUACUCUCACACUUGUUUACUUACUUGCUUGCUUAAACAACUCAUGAUUAUAACUUACUCCUUCCUUAUUGAAAUUCUUUUCUUAACUGAUAACUAAAAUAUUUUUAACCCUUAUACUCACCUAAAUCUAUUUAUCAUACCUUUACCUGAACUUUCAUGUAACAUAAUUUCUUUACUAGCCGUUGAAUUACUUGAAAUACUAAAGAUACUCAAGUCUCUUAUCUAAAUAUAACAUGCCAAAGCUUUGUCCCAGAUAUAGUCUUACAUGGGAUGUUUCCUAUACUGCCAAUGCCAUAUCCCAGGUAUGGUCUUACAUCAGAGUUCUCAUAUCGGUGCCCAUGCCAUGUCCCAGACAUGGUCUUAUGGGGGACCUCUCAUCUCGGUGCCAACGCCAUGUCCCAGACAUGGUCUUACAUGGGACCUCUCAUCCCGGUGUCAGCGCCAUGUCCCAGACAUGGUCUUACAUGGGACCUCUCAUCUCAGUGCCAACGCCAUGUCCCAAACAUGGUCUUACAUGGGACCUCUCAUCUUGGUGCCAACGCCAUGUCCCAAACAUGGUCUUACAUGGGACCUCUCAUCUUGGUGCCAAUGCCAUGUUCCAGACAUGGUCUUACAUGGGACCUCUCAUCUUGGUGCCAACGCCAUGUCCCAGACAUGGUCUUACAUGAGACCUCUCACAAUUUCAAUAAUGCCAAUGUCAUGUCCCAAACAUGGUGUUACACUGGCUCACAUAUCGAUGUCGAUGUCAUGUCUCAGACAUGGUCUUAUACGAGAUCGCAUGCUGAUGCUAUAUCCCAGAUAUGGUCUUAUACGGAAAUCACAUAUCAGAUGUUGCCACGGUCCAACCAUGGUCAUUUCUGUCAAUUCAUUACAUAUCACUGAACGAAAGUACUCAUUCCUAUGUUUUACUCAAUUUGAUCUCUCAAUUCAAUUUUCAUACUAUUAUAAUAUUCAUGGUUCAAUAGCAAAGACAUAAAACAAACAUCAUAUUAUUUCUAAUUUAACAAUUAAACAUAAGAUUCUAUCAUAUAAACAUACUGAUUACACUUAUUCAAGCAAGUGUACAUAAACAUACAUUCCAUCUAUUUGUGUAUAUUUACUUACCUUAUUUACUUAAUCAAAUAUGUUGAGCACAUAACAUCAUAUGCGCGCCAAGCAAACGCAGAUGAGCAUAUCACCAUAUAAACUUUCAUUUUAUUCUACGUAUCUACAUUUCUGAACUCAUGGUUGUGUUACUUCAUACGUUAACACAUACUCAUCAUGAAUUUUCUAUUCAUAUCUUUCUAAAUUUCGUUUCAUCAUAAACACAUUUCAAUUACCUCAACAUCAAUUUUUUUUAGCAUUAUUGGAAACAACUCGGAUAGAAGUCAUCUCUGUCUUACAAAACAAUUUCAUUGGAGUUGAAAGAUAUUAAAUUAUCACGAGUAAUAAUAUGGCAUGUAUAACUAAACUUACAUACGCUAUGUUAGUCCAAGAACCGACUAAACCAUAGCUUUGAUACCACUAAAGUAACACCCCAAACCCGAUCUAAACGUUAUGACCGAAUCUGGCGAUGUCACAUUUUAACACCCCUUACCCGUAUUCGACGAUCGAAUAAGGUACGAGGCAUUACUAGAAGACAUACAUUUGCAUACGUAUUAAACCGAGUUACAACAUUUCAUCCGAAUUAAAACUUUUAAUUAUUAACGUGCUUUUAUAAUUCUUUACAACAUAUCCUCGAAAUAUUAUAUUCAUAACAAAUAGGGCCUACGAGACCCGAUAUUUACUCAUGUAAUUCAAAGCUUCAUUUCCAUUUCAUUCAAUUCACAAUUUCUCAUGUUCACAAUUCAAAUCAAUUUCUCAAUCCAAUAUAUAUAUUUCAAUCAUCUAAGAAUAUAAUUCAAGUUACACAAACUUACCAGGCUAAAUUACAGAAAUACCAACCUCAAAUUUUCACCCAAUCUUGAUAUAAAUUAAUAUUUCAUUCAAUUUUUUAAUUUAAAUAAUAAAACAAUUCAUUUCAUGCAAUUUGGUCACUUUUUGACAUUUUUACCAAUUUACCCUUAACAUACUACUUUUAUUCAAUUUAGGCCUUGAACCUAAAACAUGCAAAUUGGUCAUUUUUAAUGAGAACUCAUGCCAUUUGAAUAAUCAUUUCUUUUCCUCCUCCUCCUCUGCAUUCCACAUCCUUAAUGUAUAAUAUGCUUAUAUGUAACAUUAUUUAUAAUUUCACCAUUUAUUUAUAUAUUAGUUCAAAGCUGUCCACUUGAGUCAUAGUCACUAAAUUAUUUAUAUCUUUAGCUACGGAACUCCAAAUUAAGCUCCGCUAAAUUCCUAUGAAACUAGACUCACAUAUAUUCUUACCAUAAGAUUUUUAUAAUUUUUUGUUUGGCCAAUAAGUACAUUUUAUUCUAUAAAGUUUGCCCUAUUUCACUGUUUGACAGUUCCAACCCCUCUUCACUAAAAAUUAAUUAUCUCUUUGUAGAGAAUUUGGAUGAUGUUUCCGUUUAUUUCUAUUGAAAAUAGACUCAUUCAGGAUUUUUAACAUAUAAAUUUAAGCCUCUAAUUUUUUUUGUUAAAUUUUUUAUGAUUUUCCAAAGUCAACACAGGGGAACCCGAAUUCAUUCUGACCUUGUCUCACAAAAUUUAUUAUACCUCAUGAUUUACAAUUCCAUUGCUUAUAUCAUUUCUUCUAUGAGAAACUAGAUUUAAUAAGAUUUAAUUCCAUAUUUUUCUCAUCUCUAAUUCGAUUUCCAUAAUUUAUGGUGAGGUUUGAAAGUUAACCUAUUGCUGCUAUCCAAAACUGUUUUAAUGCAAGAUGUUGAUUACUAAGUUUAUAACUCCCUAAUUCCCUUUCUCUAUAAUAUUUCCCACCAUUUUCACUUAUUUCCCUUCACUAAUAUAUCAAGAACAUAAGACUUUAUUUAAGAAAACUCGACUAUAACAUCAUUUCCAUGUUUUUUCAACAAUAACAAACUUAAAAAUAUAUUGAAAUCUUGAUGUUCUUACCUUGUGCUAUUGAUUUAAUCUUUAACUUGAUUUUGUCUCUCCUCCAGCUUCUAUUUCUUGAAUCUAACUUGACAUUCUAGCUCCCCAUUGUCUCCUUAUUAUUUUUCUCUCUUGGAAGCUAUGGAAAUUCUUUUCAUUUCUAGGUGAAAAUAGUGAAUUUUUGGUGAAAGGACCAAAUUGUAAAGAAAGCAAAACUUUCUUUCUUCUCUUCUCUUCUAGCAUUGGUUGCAUGAAAAGAUGAUAAUUUUUUCAUCCUCUGUCCUCCUUUUUAUAUUAAUCAUCUAAUAAUAAACUAAUACCAAAGAUAUUAAUAAAAUAUUAAUUAAAUAACAUUUAUCUAAUUAAUUAAUUAAAAAUAUCACAAACAUCAUCAUUACCUUUUAGAAUUCUCUCAAUAUUUGACCAUUUUGCCCUUUAUAAUCUUUUGAAAUUCCAUCCUUGAGUCAUCACUUAAUUUGAUAAAAUUGCAAUUUAGUCACUCAAAAUUCUUCACCUUUUUAAUUUGGUCCUAAUUCAUCCAUUUUCUGUAGUUUCUAGAUUAUUCCACCCUUAAAAUAGUUACACUAUUAGUCCUUGAAAUUUUUCAUAUUUACACUUUAACCCCUCAAAUUUUGAUUAUUUACUCUUGGGCAACAAAACUUUUCCCACUUUUCAAUUUAAUCCUUUCUUGAAUUAAUAUGUCAUAAUAUACUUCCCGAUGUUGACAUCACUCAAUAUUACCCUUUUUAUCACUUUAUUUCCUUAUUUUACUAUAUCAAGGAUAUCAUCUUACUUUCUUACUGUAGUAAUUUUCAGGGUAUUACAAAACUCAAAUGCAUAUAACUCAAAUUACCUUUCAAAUGAAUGACCCACACUAAUUAAAACAACUAAGUCAAUUUUAUCUAUCGAAUAAUAACAUUUCAGAAUAAUCCUUUGUUCUUGUUGUCAAGACAACCCAGACAUACAAUCUAUCAUAAUUCCCUCAUAAAACCAAUCAAAAAUCUCAACAAAUUGCCUUAAGUCAAACGAAACAUAACAUCUCGUUUUAACUCGUUGACAUAAAUUUAGAUUACCUGAGGAAUGAGAACCGAUAUACAAGUUUAAGCUCAAUCUUCCACCAUUCUACACUUUUGUUGUUGACUAUCCUUUUCAUGAAAGCUAGAAAUGAGAUGUAUAAUAAAACUAUUUCAACUAAUAACAUCGAAACUUUAAACCACACAAAAUCCGCCACCAUCAGAUGAAUUAAAAGCACAGUGUUAUAAUUUGCAAUUGUAUAGAUAAAACAAUACCUCAAAUAUCAAUAGUGUAAUUCGAGACCAAAGAGAAAAAACCAAAUGUAGUCCCAAUAACAACUAGUGCAGUAAUACCACCUCUAUAAUCUGGGUUCUAUAACAUCGUUCUCCCAUUAUCAAAUUAGGAAUUAUAACUAUAAUAAAUGUUUUUAUCUCCAGCAAUGAAUAUCCCUUACAGAUGAACCAUUUUUAGUAGAUUAAACAAUAAGAAUGAGAAGAUAAACAAGAUAACGAAAUCCAAGAUGUGGAGCUCUACUGAAUCUUUGAGAAUACAACCCAUAUUGAAUGAUAAAGUGAUUUAUGAUACCCUAGAGAAAAUCUAGAAGAUGAAUAUAGCUCAUCUGCACUGGAACCAGUUGUGACAGACACAACAUAAUAGAAUCUUCUACCGAACAUAAUAAAAUAGAAUGUCAAAGAAAGAUAGAGAAAUACUGAUCAUUAAUUAACCAGACUAACAAUACUUCCGUCUAACAUUAUGAUUAGCUAGCAUUCUCUUAUGAUAAGAAUCACAUCCGAAAAUGAACAAUUGAAUAUACCUCUAAGGAUAAAAGAACAUAUAAAAUACCCAAAAGAGAUUGUCAUAAGUUACUCGACUAUAAUCGCUACAUUCAAAUAUCUUUACAAUUCAAACAUUAUCCCACUGACUACUAAAUUCAUCGAUAAUCUCACAUUAACCCAUUUCACUAAUGAAAUUAAUUCACAAGAAAUUCGUGUUAAUUUGUUCUUUAGAUACCAUACCUGAAUAAGUCACUUACCUGUGAAUAACCUCUUCUUUAACAGUGACAUUGCGUACCCCGAGUGAUCUUCAAAAGAAUUGAUAUCCUUUCUAAAGCUCUCUUUACUUGCUAACCUGAUGCGAUCAUGGUCCAAGACCCAACUAAGGCUGCUGAAGAACCCAUGGAGCUACCAAGGGACUGAUUACUCGUGCUCGAGCUAAGAGGUUCAUGGAAGCUGUUGCAGGCUUUAUUGAUCGAAUUUGGGGUGAAGUCGUUGCGGGGUUUAUUGAUCAAUCAUUGACAUGCACUCCAAGCAUGCCAUGCAACCUACUUCAAGCUCAACUUUAGUUUUCUCCAGCUUGUGAAUUUAUUUGCUGGAAUAAAGAAUUAAAUUCGGUUCUAGUUAUUUUAGUUAAAUUAGUUUAAGUAUAUAAUUAUGUCAUAAUCUGAACAUAUUUAAUAAGGGUUUUUAAUUAUGUCAUAGUUUAGGACAUUUUAAAUACAUAAUUUAAAUAUGUCCUAGUUUGGAAAUCUUUAAUAUAUGUGUUUAGUUCAGACAAAUUAAAUUAUGUUUAAGCUGUGUUUAAUGUGUCUUGUAGGGUGAUCAAUGGACGGCAUUAAAUGGGGAAACAUGCAUUUAGACGUGCAUGCAUGGAUGCUGGUUGAUCUCUUCCAAGCAACUUUUCAUGGAAUGCAAUGGACACAAGUGCUUUCACAUUAUUCCAAUCAGCUGGAUGCUAUAUUCACACUAAGUGACCAUCCAAUUUUGAGUUUUCACACCUGAAGAGAUGUUUAUGUGCCCUAUGCAACAUUAAAAUGGAGACUGCACAUUUGGCUUUCCAAAAAGGCAUCAACCAUGUUCACACCAUCCAAAAUUGAUCAUCUAAUUGAACCAUCAGCUCAAAUUAAAGGCUACACGUUUUGGCUAUUUGGGGAGUGCAAAUGACAUGGCUGUUGGCGUCACCUAUGCAUGAGAGUCUUCAAAAGUCAUGUAGAAUAGGUCAAUAGUUAGUUAACUCAAUUAAGCUGAAUUAAAUUAGUCCACUCGGCUGGACUUCUGUAAAGCUAUAAAUACUAAGCUCAAAUCUUGUAUUUGGAACUUUUGAUCCUUUAGUGAAUUUUAAUCUAUUUGUGAGUUGUUCAACUCUCAUUGUUCUUUUGUGACUCAAAUUGACUUAUCUAGCUAGUCUAGUGGCGUCAAUCUAUUUCUCUUUGUGAACUUAUCACUCUAAUGAAUGUGGCGUUCAACCUAUACCAACUGGUUCCUAUCUCUUAUAAAUAGUAGGUCACGGUUAAGCUAUCAAGUCCAUUUUCAACUUAAGAGCUACUAUAAGAAUUAGUUAAAUAUUACCAUAUAAUAUUGGUUCUCUCUUUAGCCUUAAGCCAAACCUAUUUUUGCCACCUCUAUCCAUUAAAAAUUCCUUUGUUUCUAGCCAACUUUGUUCGUUUACAACCCUUUCAAGAACUAAGUCCAUACUUCUUAAUUUUACGAUCGAAAAUAUAAGAUGCUCGAUUUGCCCAACGAGUACGAGAUCGCAUCAUAACCCAUUCUCGACUCUGACAACAUUAUUAUUCAUUCAGUCACUAAUCUUUUUGAUUUCAUACUUGUAGGCUUAACCAAAAAAAAUCUUGUGAAUUCCAUUGUAUACAACCUUGAGGGUGGGGGUGGCGAUCGUAAAGCCUCAAAAUUUGACUCUUGCAUAUAUAAACACAUAGCAUAGCAUUCCUCAUUAACAUAAUCAUUAUAAAAGUUUAUGUAUACCUUCAUAAGUUUCUACUCAUCCUUGACAACUUUUUUACCCAGAUACUUGAGUAUCACAUUCAGCAUUAUCGGAAUUAGCUCGGUUCGAAAACAUUUUUGUCUAAAAAUAAAACAAAUCUCAUUAAAGUCGGGAGAUAUCACACUAUCACAGGUUAUGUAGUGGCAUGUAUUUCUAGACUUCAUACAUGCUACAUUCAGUCCGAGAGCUGACUAAACUGUAACUCUGAUAACACUAAAUGUAACACCCCUAACCCAUAUCUGUUACAGAAUUAGGGUUAUAGAGCAUUACCAAAAACUUUUAAUUUAAAACAUUCAAUUACAAUCAUUUAUAAAACACAUCAUAUUCAAUUCAAACACAAGCAUAAUGUCCCUUUUUCAAGCCCUCGAGGCUUUAAAAAAUCUUUAGAAAUAAUUCGGGACUAAAUCAAAAAAUUUAGAACUUCAUGAACAAAGAUAGAAAAAUUCAUACUACAGUGGUCACACGGCCGUGUGACCAGGCCAUGUGACUCACAUGGCUAAGCACACUCCGGUGUCUCAAGUCGUGUGGGUAUUCGAAGUAGGGACACACGGUUGUGUCCCAGCCCGUGUCCGUGUCACUAUCUUACUUGGGUCACACAACCAAGCCAUACGCUCAUAUAUCAGGCCAUGUAAUGCUUGAAAUGUAACCAAUAAAAACCUACAAGGGACACAAGACUGUCUUGCGUGACCGUGUGUCACACACGGUUGAGACACAUGCCCGUGUCUUAGGCUGUGUGGAUGAGAAAUAGGCCAUUUUCAAGCCAUUUCAUUCACUCUAAACAUGCUCACACACACAAACCAUUUGUACCUAUUUCAAACAUCAAAAAAAUGUACCUAAAACAUGCAUAAUGUAGUUAAAUCAAAAUGGCAACUAUAUAUACAACCAAUAUGCCAACAGGCACCUCAAUCAGAACGAUCAAAUAUACUUAAACAUAUGCAUAAUUUAGCCAUCCCUAAACCAUACAUUUCUAAUCUAAUUCAAUACCAAUCUUACCACAAUGACCACAUGCCAAAGUCACAUUCAAACAUACCAAGUUUCUCAUUCAAAAAUGCAUUAACCCCUUAUCAAAAUAACACACACCAAAUAGGAAUCAAAGGUACCAAGGUUACAUCAACCAAAAUGACAUAUGCAUGUCAAACUCAUCAACUAACAUGAAACACAAGUCCACCUAUACAUGUCAUUAUAACUUUGAUUUGGACACCAAAAUCUACCAUUAUAAUCGUUGGAUAGUGUGAUAGAUCUCUGACUAGCUUCCUAACCGAUCGAGCUUCCGAUAAUCUGUAAAGUAAGAGAAAGACAACCACACAAGCAAUGAAUGCUUAGUAAGCUCAUAUAAAUUUUAAACAUAAAAUUCCAUUUUUAUACAUGAACUUUAUAAGUCAUAAAUAAACCUAUACCAUUGCUUCAAGAUUUAUCAAACUAUAUAACUAUCAACUCACAAAUGAAUAGGUUCAUUAACAUCUCGAAUACUUUCUAUUCAUACCAUAAUAAAGUCUUAUAAGCUGAAUUACAUAAUCAUCAACCUUUUCUUAAAAUAGUGAACCAUUUCAUUUACUUACUUACCAUUCCAUUUACUUAGCAUAAGCUUAAUUAUGUAUCAAUUCACGAAUCAGUAUACCUAUUCAUGACAUAAGUAAAUUCCUUCCUUACAAGUAAGUCCUUUAACUUGACAAUCCUUUUUAUUUCAUCAUAUUUCGUCACAUCUAUGAACUUAUCAUUUCCAUAUAUAAUCUCACCCGUUUCAUUUGUAUAACUCACAAGAUAUAAGCAUAAACAUCAACCAUAACCACAAGCUAGUGCACUUAAACAUAACUCCUUCACAUUUAACUAAUAAUCAUUCUGUAAUUCAUCAUUCAUCUCAAACUUUCCAAUAAACAUGUAAUCUGGAAUUACUUACCUUCACUAAAUAAGAUUAAAUCUAAAUGAAUAAAUUAAUCAUACCUGUUAUACAUUUACAAAGCACUUAUAGGCUUAGUAUUGAAAAUGAUUCAUCGCAUGCUUCCUGUACUAUAAUAGUUCAACCCAAACUCAUUUAUAUAUGUAUAUAAACAUAUAUAUUUAACUAAAUAAUCAUCAAUAUAACGGUACUCACAUAUGAUCAAGUAAUUCAUUGAACAUUUAACAUUUAACACUUACUAAUUUCUUAACUAUACAUUAGCCUUUAACAUUAAACUAAUUUUAUAAAUUUCAUUCACAGUUAGCCCGAUGAACUAGUAACUUGAAUAGUAUACUCGGGUGGCUACACCACACCAAAGGCAUCAUAGAUGCAUAACAGGGGCACCAUAGUGCGAAUAGAGGCACCGAAGUAUAUAUUGGGGCACUAAAGUGCAAACUGGGGCACUGAAGUGUAACUCUUGUACAAGUGUGCAUUCUAACCCUAUUGGUAUGCCAAUCGUAUGCUAGUGAUUACUACAUUCAACCAGGCAUUUCACGUAAUCCAUUUAUUUUAAACAUAUUUAUCAUUCAAGGGCACGUCAUUAUUUUCGUACACAUGAUAUAAUAUCAAUACAUAUAUUCACAUUGUCAAUGUGCCAUUACAUAGAUUAACAUCAUCUAUUUAUCACUUUCAUCUUUCUCGAUACACGUGCUAUAAUAAUUCAUAAUCAUGCUGAAAUCACAUAUAUAUCAUAUCUCAUAAAUAUUCAAUAGUUUUCUAAUAAAUCCUUUCUCACCUUAUAUUCAAUUAUAAUAUUUCGAGUUUCAGCUCACAUUUUAAACAUCAUAUAUAAGUAUAUACAUUCAUGAAUCAGCAUUAACAUUAUUUAUAUAUAUAGGUUUGUACAAUUCUAUACCUACGAGCUUACCUGGCUAAAUUACAGAAAUGUCAAAGUAUAGGGGCAUUUUGGUAAUUUUCCAUUCUCCUCGAUUUUCCACCCGACAUUGAUCUAAAUUAAUAAUUGUAUUCAAUCUAUUAAUUUAGAUAGUAAAAUAAUAUAUUUUAUACAAUUUAGUCUUUUUGACAUUUUUACAAAAUUACCCCUAAAGUUUCACUUUUACUCAAUUUAGUCCCUGAGCCUAAAACAAGCAAAUUAACCAUUUUUACCCAAAAUUGAGCCCAUCUGAAUACUUAUGCUCUCCAACACAGGCCAUUCAUUCAAUAAUUUCAUAACAAAUCCUUAUAUUUUUACUAUUUUAACAAUUUAGUCCCUAACAUCUAAAAUCACAAGGUUCAUCAAUGGCAAUAUUAAAAAUCUUUAACAGUUUCAAAAUCGAAGGUACGGGCUAGCUAUAACUAAUUGCAACGAUCUGAAAAACAUAAAAAUUAUUAAAAAUGGAGCCAAAAUCACAUACCAUGCAAUAGGAAAACCACUAUGGCUAAACUUAGCUUAAAACCUCCAUGGACAUUCAUUUGUUUGAAGAAGAAACUGAAAAGAUGAUAACCAAUUACCUUUUCUUUUUAUUUUAUUUUAAUUUAUUAUACCAAAUUACCAUUUUAACCUUAGUUAAUAAGUAAAUAAAACAUCAAAUUCAUAUCCAUUAUUGUCCACUAACACCUUGAAUGAUCUAAUUACCAUUUAAGUCCCUUUUCCUUUAUUCAAUUAACCAUUUAAUCGCUCAAAUCAAAUAGUGAUUAAAUUUUACAUCUUUUUCUAAUUUAGUCCUUUAUAAUUAAUUAACUAUCGAAACGUUAAAAUUUUUCAAGGAAACUUUAAUACCACCUGAAUGACACUCCAUAAAUAUUUAUAAAAAAAUUAUGGUUUGAUUUAUAGAAACGAGGUCCCGAUACCUCAUUUUCUAAACCCACUUGACCUUAGGGUCUUACCACUUGAACCUAUUAAAUCAUUUAUAUAACAAAAAUCACUAUAUCACAAACCUUUUUAAAACCAUGUUUGGCUCGUAAAUAUUAAAUGAUAAUAUUUACGAACUUAUUCAUCGAAUUUGGUGGCCCCGAAACCAUUGUUUUCGACACUACUGAAAAAUGGGCUGUUACAUCUUCUCCCUUCUAUUCAAAAAAAAAAACCAUUGAUGCCUUGCUCUAGAAGCUAAUCAGGGGUUUCUCACUAAUAUGAAACUAAAGAUCGGAGUUCAUGUAUAAGGUUGUUUCUCACACGGGGUAAGUAUUUUGGACUCACGUGUUGUUUUUAUAAGAAUGUGUUUGAUUAUGUACGUAAAUGGGGAAAAAAAGAACUAAGGCCUUGCAUGGUGAAUAUUUGUGCUAGAAAUAAGGGUGAGAUUUGAUAAUAUUCCUAUGUCUUAUAAACAGUAACUUUUAAGGGUCCGCAAGAGGAUGUGCGAACUUGGGGAUCAAGCUGUUGUUUAUGGAAGUAAGGUGAGUCCCUCAAUUGAUCAUUACAUGUGUAUUAUGCUUAUCUAGAAAAUUCUAUGUUAAAAUUCUACGCUAAGUGGCCAAAGCAUGAGAUUGGAACUAGUAAAGCAUGAUAUGACGAAUCUAAUAAGAAAUGUAAGACUUAUGAAACUGAAUGAAUAUGGUGCUUAUGUCUGAAAGUAAGAAGAUCGAGUCUGAUAGGAAGUGCAUGUGUGUCUGGUAAACAUAAGAAUGUCCAUCAUAAGUGAGUUAAUACGUGAUGAGUCUGUGUUUAUCUCCAGAGUCGUCAAAGGGAUCCGUUAGGACAAAAUCACAAAUCUUUGAAAGGAAAAGUCCAUGUCCAUGGCACUACAGAAGACGAUAUCAUGUAAUACCAUAAUUGGUGGGUUAUGACAUCAUAUUUGAAGAAGAUCAUAUCGUGUAAGACCGUAACUGGUGGGUUAUGGUAUCAUAUGGAAAAAAUUUAAGGAAGGUUAUUGCCUAAUGUGGUUCUCUAUGUGUCCUAGGACAAUAAGGGGAAAACCUUACUAAGUGUGAGUCUAGACAAAUCCCUAUCGCCUAAAUCACCAGGAGAAGAAAAUCCUUUGUGGCAAAACUUUGGAAAGGCAAGCCUUUGUGGCAAACCUAUUAAAGGAUAACCUUUGUUGCAAAACUUUAGAAAGGCAAGCCUUUGUGGUGAAACUCUGAAAGGACGCCUUUGUGGAGAGACUCUGAAAGGAAAAUCUUUGUGGCCACUACUUAAUGAAAAGGAAGCCUUUGUAGAAAUAUCUAGAUAAGGAAGCCUUUGUUGAAAUCUCUGAAUUAGGGGGCCCUUAUGGCAAUAUCUGGAUAAAGAAACCUUUGUGGCUAUCUCUAAAAAGGAAUGUCUUCAUGGUGCCAUCGAAAGAAUGACACUUGCAGUAACCAUUUGAAAGAAAUGCCUCUGUAGUGGACUCUGAACAAAAAGAAAGAAACCCAUGGUGAACUCUAACAAAAUGGCGUAUAAAGUCUCUUGAAGGAACGAUAAGUAUGGUGAACUUUGAAUGAAAGGCUCCGUAAGAAGUGUUAUGGCUAACCCAGUAUAGUAAUAUGGUAAGAACAACGAGACUAGAGUGUGCCAACGUAAGUAGUGAACCCAAGGUCUUCUAUCUGUAAGGCCCUCUGUAAUAGAAAUGGUUAAGAAAUCACUAAAGAACAAAAUGAAGAAUGUGAAUAAGGCAAUGAUGAUAGGAAUAGUAUGUUAUGAUCUCAGAAUGAGGAAUGACACCAAUGACACAAUGAAUGGAAUUUUAUGGAUGACACAAUGAUAUGAAUAUGGAAUUUUCAAGUAUGAAAUAGGUAAAGGAGGAUUUGCUCACUAAGUUUUCAUGAGCUUAACUUUGUGUCUUUUAUGACACAUGUAAGCUUAUUUGAGGCUAUAUCAGGAGGGACUACGCUAGGUGAAUGGUGAGAUGGGUUGUUAUGCAUACAGAGUGAGCUUGAAAUGAAGUGAUCAAGUUUGACAGAAACACUCUGAAUGGGCUACGCAAUCUAUUUAGAAGCUUGGUAGUGAGAAUAGAAUGUGUUGUGAAAAUAAGUGUAAUAUAUAACUUGUGAACCCUCGUCUAAUUAAAAGGCAUGUUUAAUGUUUGUAAUUAGUUAUUAUACAUCCAGAUGUGGUCUAGCUAAGUAGUCCUAUUAAAUAAGAUGGAUUUUGUUGAAAGUUUAAAUGUUUAGAUAUAAAUAAGUCUAUAAUAGGAAAUGUAACACCCGAGAUCCCAAUCCAACGAAUCAGAUCAAGUCGAGGGCAUUAUAGUUAGUUUAAAACAUUUACUUAACAUAGAUCUUACAAAACACAUAAUCAUGUAGAGCUCGUUGCAUAGAGCUCGCAUGUCACUGUUCAUGAGAUCACAUAUUGAAAUACUUUCGUAAAAUGAAGUAAUAGAAAAGACUUACUUAUCAAAACUUAGGUCAAACCCUAAGCUCCUGAUUAACAUUACAGGUCGCACAUACAAGUUGCAAUCCCUAAACACUCACUAAUUUUUCUUGAAGACUUAGACAAGUUUUGCUAUUCCCUUGACUUUGCUUAAAGAUGGUUCUUGAUUUCUAAGUGUUGGGCUCUUAAGACUUGCAGACAGAAUAAUUGACAGUAAAUUUAGGAGAAAAUAAUGUGUAAUUCCCUUAAUGGAAAUGGCUUAAUUAUAGGCUCUAAGUGUCUUAAUGUCUUUAAUACUCUAAUUGUAAUAGGAGUAAUAUUUAGCGACAUGCAUGGAUAGUGUUGUAAAGAGAAAAGUAAGCUAACAUUCCUAAAUGAGGCACGACUCUACUUUGGCCAUUCUUAUUUUUAACUCACAACCCAAAACUGUAGUUCGUUGGCCUAUUGGCGAUCCCUAUUUCGCCAAAAAUGCUAGCGAUCUAAGUUCUCUAAAUUAUUAGGCGUACUCUAGCUCACCAAGCCUUUUAGAGAACUCCUACUUGCAAAGCUUAUUGGUGUACUUUAGCUCGCCGAACUUGUUGGUCAUACACUUGCUCACGAAUCUACUAGCAUAUACAUGCUUGUCAUUUUCUCUAGCGAACCCUUGUUCACUAGUCUUACUGACGAGUACCUAUUUGUCACGCUCUUGGGCAAUUUUUUGUUCGCCUUGGUGAACCCAACUCACUUGGCCCCAUACUUCUAGGCUCUACUUCAGGAUGUUACAACUCUCCCUCUCUUAAGAAAUUUUGUCCUCGAAAUUCCCUAUGUUUAGAACAGGUCAGGGUACUGGUGUCUCAUUGCUUCCUCUAUUUCCCAAGUGGUUUCGUUGGUCUUGUGAUUUCACCAUAACACUUUAACUAAAGGUAUCUUCUUAUUUCAUAGAGUCUUUUCUUCACAAGCUAAGAUUUCCACGAGCCGUUCAUCAUAAGUAAGACCAGGUCGCACAUCAAUUUCAUCUGUUGAAACAAUGUGGGAAGGGUUCGCGCGAUACUUUAUCAACGUGAACACAUGAAAAACAUCAUGAAUUUACUCCAGUUCUUGUGGUAGCUUAAGUCAGUAGACUACUGGACCAAUCCUUUCAACCACCUCAUAAGGACCAAUACUUGCUUACCUAUUUGGUACUCUAUGUCUCAUCAUUUCAGAUCGGUGUAAGACUUUUGUCUGUCUAAAAAAACAUCCAGUCUUUCGCAAAUCACUUUCACCUUAUCUUCUAUUUAACGAAUUAGCUCUAGUCUAAUCAUUCACUUCUCAUCUAAUUCCGCCCAACACAAAGGUGUUCAACACUUCCUUCCAUACAAUGCCUCGAAGGGUUCCAUUUGGAUACUUACUUGGUGAUAACUCUUGCAAAGAGUUAUAUUUCAUGCCCUUAGGCUUAGUUCAUUACCUGUACUUAAGUGUUGUUAGUUCCAUUUUAGGAUAUUGCAUUGGCACUUUUAAAACAUUGCAUUAAAGAGCUUCGAUUGCGCUUAAUUGUGAUUACAUGUUGAUUUUAACCGCUUGUGAGAAAGAUUUGUUUGGCGAUUGUUUAGUAGGUGUAAAGUGUAGAGAAAAGUUUAACGGUUUGUCAUGGAAAAUACAGAUAGUUUGCCAACACAAAUGUCGUGGCAAUGCUGGAAAGACGCCUAGUCAGCACUUAAGGCGUACCACUCUUGUCCCCACAUAUAUAUCUACUUGGCAAAUAGAGAAAGGAUCACGGGUUGAUGGACCUACCCUAGAAGGUGAAACUUAUGAAAGCCAAGCAAGGAACCAUAUUUAAAGGGAGCCUUUAGACGAAAAAGAGCAACCUUGAGCAGCCGAAAAUAGACUACGACAGCAGCCUUGGAUGAAAUAGUAAAUAUCAGGUAGGGGCCAAGAACAAGGGUAGCAAAAGAAGUAGAAAACAACUGCAAUCACCUUGGGCAAUUGCAAGACAUUGCACUGCCUAUAUUGAGAGUUGGAUAGGAGAAAGUUGUAAUCUUAGAUUUCCUCCUUUGUUUCUUAUCAUGCUUUUCUUUAAAGCUUAUCAGUUAUUGAUGAUGUUGGUUAUCGUAUUAAACUCAAACCUGAUUUUCCCAACCAUGAGCUAAAUCUCUUAGGCUUGGGAUUACUUUGAUGAAACCUUUGUUACUAUUAAUGUUUAAAGUUUAAUUUUGGUUUGCUCUACUAUUUUAUUCAAUGGCAUAUCACGUUAUAUGUAGGUUGUACAUUAACGAAUGUACGACAGGUUUAUAAAGAAAACUUAAUACCGAUAAGGUUGGGUUACCUGGAUAAGUGUUGGAUAAUAUGAGGGAAUGAUUAAUCACUUAUACAUGGCAACCUUUAGACAUAAAGCCUUGCCUUGUGCAAAAGAAGGUAGGAAAUAUUAGUGGUAGCCGAACUCAAAGCUUAUAGACAUAUAAUGCCCUAGGGAAUGUAACCGAAGGUCUUGCUCUCGAGAGAAGUAGACUACUGUAGAAACCUAUUGAAUAGUAGAAUAUUCACGACUUUGUUGUGGCAUUAAUAGGUAAUGAAGGUUGAUCCAUUAGUAAUCCCAGUCGUCCUAAUCAACAUUGUAGCUCCUCAAGCCUUUUUUGUAGUGAUUUUUCCAUGGCAUUCUUGUUCUGUUUACUUGUUUUGCACAUUUUAUACAUCAUCAUUCUCUCAUUUUUCCAUUGAAUUCUUAUUCUUAUUUUGCUUUAGCAUUAAUCGAACUUAACUAUAAUAACUCAACCAAAUUAUACCUAUCUAAUCCCUAUGGAGAUGAUAUCACUCAUUACUAUAUUACUUGAUCGACGUGUACACUUGCACGACUUGCAUAUCAGCUGUGCAACCAACACCUAGGAACUGUUGUUAUAUACGAACUCUACUGAGGGCAAAUAUCAUUCCCAGCUUCCUGCGAAUUCCACCACAUGGCUUGGUUGCAUGUCUUCUAGUACUUGGAUCACCCUCUCUUAUUGACCAUCUGUCUAUAAAUGAUAAGAAGUACUGAAAUUCAAUUUCCAACCCAAGGGUUCUUGUAAAAUUUUCCAAAAUCUCGAUGUGAAUCGUGGAUCUUGAUCGACGGUAAUAAAAACAAGCACGCCAUUAAGUCGUACAAUUUUUUUGAUGUAUAACUCCACCAAAUUUUGCAAAGUAUAAGUGAUGUGGACUUCAAAGAAGUGAAAAAUUUUAGUGAGACAAUCUACAAUCACCCAUAUUGCAUCUUUCUUUGUCAAGGUCAGUGACAAGCCGGACACAAAGACCAUGGUGAUCCUUUCCCAUUUCCACUCUAGAAUUUUGAUUGGUUGCAACAAUCCUAAAAGAUACUGAUGCUCAACCUUCACCUCUUGAAAAAUAAGACAUUUUCCACAUAAUUCAUAAUGACUUGCUUCAAGCUAGGUUACCAAUACAAUUCAUAAAGGUCAUGGAACACCUUAUUGCUCCCUGGGUGUGACACGUAAAAGUAGUUGUGAGAUUCUAUAAGGAUCGCAUAUUGAAGUUUUUCAUCACAGGGCACAUAUAGUCUUCCUACGAAACAAAGUAUCCCUUCUUUAUUCAGUGCGAAGUCCCCCUAUAACUUGGGGUUUGUGCAAGUGUACAUAGUCGUUAUCAAGUAAUAAGUAAGUAUCGAGUUAUCGUCACCACAGGGAUUGUAUUUGUGCUAAGUCACUUAAUUUGUAAAAUUAUAUUAACAAUUUGGUAAAUAGAAACACAAUAUAGUUGAGAAAUGGUGAUUAAAAUAUAUUAAACUAAAUGCAAUGAUCCCUAAUGCAAAUUAUCCUAAGUAUGCAAACUAUAUGAAUGAAAUAGAUUUUAGUAAAAUUUAACACAAUUUGCAACAAUUAUAACAUAAAUAAACUAGGACAAUUACUUUAAUUAAACUCAAUUUAUUAUCAACAUGCUUAAUAACAUUCGGAAAAACAUUCCAUGGCAACUCCAUCUUUCAUGAGUUUGGAAACCACCUUAGGUCCUUUCGAAAUCCUUUACUUAGUAAAUACACAUUUUAAUAAUCCUUAAUUACUAAGGGUUUCUUAGCAUUCGUGUGAGGUAACAGGGAUGUGUUAGGUUUGAAACAAUUUAAUCACACAAAUCUAAAAACUAUGCAGAUAACAGAGCUUGGUUAGAGUUGUUAUGCAACCUACAAUUCAAUCGGGUUAGGAUCUAAAUUAAGAAUGCACAUUUCAAUUAUGCGUCCAUUAGCCGUCGUCUGGUUAGGAUCACUCAACUAAUUCAAGUCCGUUUAAGUCACGUAUGAAUGAAAUACAGACUUGAUUUUAAUUGAAAACAUGAUCAAUUGAGGCACAAACAUUAUAAGCAUGAAUCAAAUAAAUAUUAUUUAAUCAAAAUAAUCAUCCUAGCUUAAAUAAAAUUAAGCAAUCAUUGUUGUAAACAAGAAAAAAGAGCACAUAGAAAACAUCUUUAAAUUAAAUUUAAAGAAGAGAAUGAUUAAACCCAAUUCAGAGUGGUUGUCACCCAAGACUCUGACUGACGAAGCUCAUUUGCUUCUUUGCGUUGCUCGUUUGCUGAUGGCUUUCCAAGGUGGCCAACUAAGGAUUCUUUAAGAGGCUUAAUUGCUAAAAUCCUUAUGCAAGGAUGAUGAAGGGGAAAGAUAGCUAAAAGAGUUGAGAGAAUGAUGAAUGAGUGAGAGAUGAUGGGAUGAGGGAUGAUUGAAAAAGAGAGAAAUGAGCUCUUAUUUAUAGGUGAGGCAAAGGAACUAGUUUGCUAAAAAUAGGAGUGUCUAUCCUUUGAAACUUCCUCCAAGAGUGGUUGGCCAUGAAGUGAGGAAAGGUGGCUGAUUUUUCCUUGAUUUUUGGUCAAUUUGAGUGCCACAACAACUCAGGACUAAGACUCGGUCAUCAGCAAAUCUUCGGGAAAAUCUCUGAUUUCUUUAACUCUUCAAGGACUUUGUAUAAUUAAACCAAAAAAUGGUUUAUGACAUCCAUGUGCAGCCAAAAAUUGGGUUGACUUGGUCCCCAAUUUGGACGAUUUUGCAAUUAGAAGAAAACUCUCAGCCCUGUCCAAAAAUAGUAGAUAGUUUAGAGGACCAAAUAAUAUAAUUUAACCACUCUAAUUAAUCAAUUUAUUUAAUUAAUUAAAACCCAAUUUAUUAAUGAAUUAUUAAAAAUUAAUUAUUAAAUAUAACUUUAUAUUUUAUUAUUUAAUUUAAUCAUGCAUGGCCCACUUUAUAGCUUAAAAAUAUAAUAUGCUUAAAUUAAUAUAAAAUAAGUCAUUUUAUGCAUGAAAACUAUAUAAUAAAGUAUAAAAUCACAUUUUAAUAAUUUCUAUGUCCUAAUUUCAUAUUUUCGCAUAUUUCAUUAAUUUAUUAAACAAUUACUUGGUUUUAACAACAAAUUUAAGUAAAAAGGUAAUGAAUUAUAUAGGAAAAAUCCUAUAUAUUUUUUAGUUUACACACCCCCAAACUUAAAUCAUUGCUCGUCCUAAGUAAUGUUCAUGCACAGCACAAGGUCUUACUAAGGCAAAUUUUGCUAAGAGUGUAAGUAGCAUCAAUCUUUGUUUUAUAAUCAUGCAUCAAUAAAUUCAUGCUCAUAGACCUUCUUUAUUAACAACUCAUAUACAAACAUUUUGAAAAUUUUAUUCUAAGUUUCAAGAUAUGCCAACAUGAAUCAUAGUUUGCAUGUAUGUCACAGUCAUAGAUAAUAUUUUUCAUUCAACACAAAUUCUCAUCAAUCAAGCAAAACAAUCAUAAGGCUUAUUUAUGAUCUUCAUAUGUUGAACUUAAUACUUCCUCUCCACUAAUGUAGGUGACAUAACCAUCAAAUCAAUAGGUCUUUUAUAAGGUUGUAAUGGGGCUCGGUUAAAGGCGGGGAUUUUAAGAGAUGGGACAUUUCGGUUUCAAAAUCUUAACUUUUAACUUGUCUUGAAUUUCUCGAAAUUCAACUUUUUUCUUCAAGUGAACCUAUGGAACUCCGUUUGAACUCAUACUCAUACAUUUUCUUUUUGGAGACUGAGCAAAUUUUUCUUCACUCUUUCUUUGUAUUUGUUGUUGCUAUUGUUUUUUUAAGCAUGAACACAUACAUCUUUAUGAAAAUUUCCUCAAAUGUUCAUUCCCAAGACAACUUUACUUAGGAUAAGUGCACAAAAUUAAUAUAAUUUUAAAAAGAUGGUACUGGCUUAUAAUGUAGGUUUAUUACAAUGAACAGGCUUUUAAGCUCAAAAUUAUAGUUUCAAGGGUCUAAUAUCAUAAGGUGGGCUUGAAAAGGCUUAAACGAUCCAAAGAAAAACGGUGUUGUAAUACCCCUUACCCAUGUUCCUCGUCGGAACAAAGUAUGAAGUAUCAUUAGAACACAAAUACGAAAAAUUAAUUUUUUUUUUACAAAAAUUUUGACAUAGUCCUCUUUAUAAAUACAUUACCUCACCUACACAUUUUCAGAUCAUAAUCCAACCAAUUCCAAUAUUCCAACCAACAUUUAUAUUCUCAAUUAUAUUCAAGUUAUACACAACACUUUAACUAUCAUCACUAGCAUUGCAUAAAAAUAAUUUAUCAUAUAACAUACACUAACAUUUAAACUAAAUACUUUGUAACAUACAACAUCUAGUUAAGCCAUCUAUACAUGUCAUAAUUUAGAAAUGUUGAUUUCAAAAUACCAAAAUAUAUGGAUAGUGUUAAUGAGUUCCCGACUAUUUCCAAAUUCUGAGUUGAAUUGGUAACACUAUAAAACAAGGAAAAAGAAAGAGGGGUAAGCAUAUAGCUUAGUAAGCAAGUAUGUGAUUAAUAAACAAAUUUCUAACAUGUUUUCAUAGAUGAUAUAAUUUAAAUCACACAUAAUUUCAUUAUUUGCACAAUUUCCAGCAAGCUGUUUUUAUGCAUCACAGUCACUAAAUUAUUUUUAUCUGGAGUUACAGGACUCCAAAUAAAGAUACGUAAAUUUUCCUUGAAACUAGACUCAAAUAUAUUAUUUCCAUAAAAUUUUUAGAAUUUUUGACUUGAUAAAUUAGUACAGUUUAUUAUUUAAAUUCACCCUUGUUUUACUACUCAACAUCACUGACCUCUUUUCACUAAAAAUGAAUUAUCUCAUUGUACAGAUUUUUAAUGAUAUUUUUGUUUAUUUCCUUUGAAAAUAGACUAAUUCAGGAUUUUAAACAUAUAAAUUAUAACUCAUAAUUAUUUUUUUACAAUUUUUAAUUAUUUUCCAAAGUCAGAAUAGGGGAUUCUGAAACCAAUCCAAACCUGCAUCACUAAAAUUCAAAUAUCUCAAAAUAUAUAACUCUUUUGCUUACUCUGUUUAUUUUAUGUAAAAAUAGACUCAUUAAGAUUUUAUUUCAUAUCUUAUUCACUCUCUAAUUCAAUUUUCACCAUUUUUGGUGAUUUUUCAAAGUCACACUACUGUUACUGUCAAAAACAGUUUUGUUGCUAAUUCUACUUUUUCAUAAUUUCACCUUUUUACUUUUAAUCACUAUUCCAUUCAAAAUUCACUUUUCCAUUUUCAAGUCAAUAUUCAAUUUAGUUCCACACAUAUAUGCACUUAUAAAUCACAUAGUCAUUUCAUCAUAUCAUGUAUUUCACUUAAUAAAUUUCCCGUUAACUUAUCGGACUAAAAAAAAUAGAUUUCUCGGUGGCCUGCACACAGUCCGUACCACCUUUGUGUAAUAACAGAUUCUCGGUGGCCUGCACAUAGUCCGUGUCACCCUUGUAUCUUAACAAGUUAUUGGUGGCCUACACAUACUCUGUGCCACCCUUGUGUCACAACAGAAUAUCGGUGGCUUGCACACAGUCCGUGCCACCCUUGUGUCAUAACAGAUUAUCGGUACGGAUAGUAGCCUGCACUUAGUUUGUGCCACAUAUGCGACCUAUCAGUCUGGUACACGUAGUGGCCUACACUUAGUCUGUACCACACGUGACCCAAUUACGACCAUUCAUAUCUUUUCUAUUCCGAGUUUCAAACGGAAAUUCUUAUUUUUCAAUCUUUUCCCAAUUCUUCUCUAACCAAUCUUAAUUUAUAAUUUACAUCAUAAAUUUGUUACACAUAUAACACAUCUCUUAAAUAAAAUAAUAAGACACUUAAUCAUAAAUAAAACAAUAUAUUAUCUACAUACAAACUUACCUCGGUGCAAAAUAUUGUAGUUUUUGCAAUUUAAUCCACGAUCUUUUCCUUUCCCCGAUUGAGGUUGACUUCUCGUCUUUCUUGAUCUAUAAUAGAAAUUUUAGCUUUUUUAAUAUUCACAUUUAUCAAAAUAGUCCGCAACUCACUUUUAGGAAAAUUAAGAUUUUGUCCCCAAAUUUUUGCAUAUUUACAUUUUUGCCCCAAAGGUCGAAAAUUAAAUUUUAUUACUUAUUCUUGCGUUUUAUAACAUGCUGAACAUUUUUCCCUUCUAUAGCAACAUCCAAUUCUCACUCUAACACUUACUUAUGUACAUUAAGUAUUUUUACCGAUUAUGUUAUUUUACUCCGUUUCACUUAAAAUCGACUAGCAAAAAUUGUUUAACAUAAAUUCUAGCUUCAUAUUCUACCAUAAAACAUCAAAAUACAUACAUUUCACAUAUGGGUAAUUUUUCAAAUUUCAACCCUAGCUCGAAAUAGCAGUAGAAAUAGGUAAACCGAGCUACGAGAAUCUUAAAAAUGCAAAGAACAUUAAAAACUAGGAUAGGAUGUACUUACAAUCAAGCUUGACAGUGGCCAAAACCCUAGCUAUGGAGACUUAGAAAUAUUCAGCCAAGCAUGGAGAAGAUGGACACAAUUUUUACCUUAUUCUCCCUUUUUAAUUCAUUUAAUUACUAAAUUACUAAAAUGCCCCUAAUUAAAAAAAAUCCUAUUUCACUUUUUUUUCAUGUCCAUUUUUUUCCAUCAACACACUAAUGGUCUAAUUCACAUAAGGACCCCCAAUUUAUAAUUUCAUAACAAUCAAACACCUUUAAUAUAUAGAACUCAACUUUUGCAUUUUUUACAAUUUAGUCCUCUUGACCAAAUUUAGUGCUCAAACGUAAAAAUUUUCGAACGAAAUUUUCACGAAAUCUUUCCGUGAAUUUGUAGACCAUAAACAUAUAAUGAUAAUAAUAUUCUCUUUUUUCAGAUUUGUGGUCCCAAAACCACUAUUCCGAUUAGGCCUUAAAUCGAGCUGUUACAGAUGCUUAUAUCAUUUUAGAUUUUUAUGUCCCUUAGGAUUUCACCUCAAGAAAGUUACUAAGUCAAUUCUAAAGAUAUAAACUUUUAUGCAUGUCUAAUCUCAAGAGAAACUAAGUUUUCAUGGCAAACAUUACCUAAGACUAAGAUCAUAAAAACAUUCCAUUUUUCAUGAUAACAUGCAAUCACUCAGAUAAAAUCAUCAUUCAUGCUUGCAUACAAGCUAUCUUAUUAAAAAUAAUUUCUCUAAACAUUUAUUUAUUAAGACAUGUUUGUGAAAGAAUGAUUUGAAACAUACUUGAAAAUUUUAAAAAUUUGAGCAAUUUGCCUUACCCCCUUUAAAAAGAAGUAAUGUCCUCAUUGCGAGAAUAAAGUAAUGAAUGAAAACUGAACACGAGGUAGGGUUGUCAAGAAAGAGAGGUGAGUCAUUAAGACUACUUAAAUACCAAGUCUUUCCUAAUAACACAAUCCUAGACAUGUUCAUUCCCAUUGCCACAUCACUUAAUCUUUUUCUUUCUAAAAAAGUAUUUAUUCAUGCUUGCUAUGUUUUAUUUUGCAAAAAUUAAAUCCUAUUUACUAAAGAAAUAAAUUCCUAAAGACCUAAAAAUAAUUAAAUAAAAAACAAGACAAGAACCCCCCCUUUUAUUUUUCUGACUUAUUCCCCUUGUCUUCUUUAGUUUCAUCUUCGCUUGCAUCGUCAGUCUCUUACGUCCAUGUCUCAAAGAUAGCAUCUGGGAACUCAGGAAAAAAAGUAUUAGAGAUAUUCUUAAAAGUAUUUCAUAUUGAAUCAUCUCUAAUUUUUGCAUAUUUCUAGUAAGUUUGUUGUUGAUUAUGCAUGAACUUACAUAUCCAUCAAAAUUGACAACUCUGAUUUCCUUGAAGUACUUGCAGAAGUCGACAUGGGAUUUGUAUAUUCAGGUUCAACACUUAGCUUGAUUGGUUCUUCUUUUGGCUCAACCCUAGGUUCAGGGUUUUCAGCUCCUUCAGCUGGUUGAGGACUAUUUGGUUUCUUGUCAGAUUCUUCUUCUUUAGUGUCUGUAACUGAAUCAGCUUUAGUUUCUGUUUUAUUUGUUCACUCUUUGGUUUCUACCUUAGUUGGUUCCUCUUGCUCACAUUGGUUCAACUCUUGCACUCUUUCUACCAACCUUUCAAGAUCAUGACUUGUAAUGCACCCUUGGACAUACUACCCCUUCAGAUUUUCUUGUGUUUUAACAUGGGCCCUUAAGCAAAGUGAAGUAAUUAAUGAUGGGAAAUAAGCACUUCCUGCCUUCUUUUUAGCACAAUCAUGAAUCUCCUUGAGGAUAAUUUUCCUAACAUUAAUGGACUUUUCUGUCAAGAUUGCAUAUAACAAGAGCAUUCGUUCCCAUUUGAGAGCAUUGAUUAUCUUUCUAAUUGGCAAAGGAACAACCAUCACAUCAUUGCUCUUCAAAUUAAAACUUUUUCUCGGCAUCAUAGGUUGAUGCUUGAAAAUUAAAUCAAAUCACUCUUUCACUUCUUUAUCAACCACAAUCAGGUUUUCAGGAGUAGUUUUUAACGAUCUAGUUCUUUUGCGAGACAUGGUACUUUCCCAAACAUUUGGCAGAGGUUCUGCGCAAGAGAGAAAAGAGAAAUCGGCAAAGUUGGUAUAACUUGCUAUGGCAAAAAUCUUGCGACAAUAAGGAUGGUGCGGCGGCGAUCUCUUUGCGACAGCAAUAGGGAAUUUUGGCAAAAAGAAAGGACUAGGGUUUCUUUCGGUAUUUGAGGUUAACGACACAAAAAAGAGAUUUAGGGAUUUUUAGGGCGGAAGCAAAUUGCUUUGCGGGAGAUGAAAAUUAGUAGAAUGAAGAGGGCUUUAUAUAGGGAAAAUUAGGGCAACAUGCAACAAAAAUUUAGCUACCUUAAAGUUACUUGGGCAGCAAGUAAUGGGUGUGACGGCAAGGCCUAGUUUUUUCCCUCUUUUUUUGCUAUCUUGGGCCUCAAACUCAUACUGUAUCUUAAAAAAAAUUGAUUAGUACUUGGGCCAAAUUUGACCCCCUUUAUUAACACAAAAAUUUAAAAUUUAAACUGAACAAAAUAAAACUUAAAAAUUUUAAUUAGAAAAUUUCUUCUUAACAACUUACAUUAAAUUAAUUCCCAGGAAAGGUUGGAGGGGUCACAGCGGUCCCGCUUAAGUUCCAAUCUCCUUAGACAGAAUUAAUUAAAUGUAAUAAAUUAAGAAAAUAAGAUCUAAUUAUUUAUUUAUUUACACAAUGAGUUCAUGAAAAAUUAAGGGUCUGUUAAGAUGAGUGAGGAUUCAGUUUGCUCAACUUCACCAUCCCAGUAGUGUUUGAGACGUUGACCAUUAACUUUAAACGUACCUCCAUAAUUGUCGUAUAAUUCAAUAGCUCCGUAAGGAUAAAGUCGGUAGAUGGUAUAGGGUCCUUUCCAUCGGGAUUUCAGCUUCCCAGGAAAUAACUUCAGCCUUAAAUUAAACAACAACACUUUCUGACCUUCUUUAAACUCGCGAAGUUAUAUAUGAGUAUCAUGCCAUCUUUUUUAUCUUUCUUUACACAUUUUGGCAUUCUUAUUGGAAAACAACCUCAGCUCUUCCAACUCAUCUAAUUGUAACGUCCUUCUCUCACCGGCCUAUUUUAGAUCAAAAUUUAACUGCUUUAAUGCCCAGUGAGCUUUAUUCUCCAACUCUAAUGGCAAAUGACAUGCCUUUCCAAAGACUAACCGACAAGGAGUCAUUCCUAACUGAGUCUUAAAUAUUGUUCGAUAGGCCCAUAAUGCAUCAUCGAGCCUUCGAGACCAAUCUUUUCUGCUAGGGUGUACUACCUUUUCAAGGAUACUUUUGAUUUCAUGGUUCACUAUUUCAACUUGUCCAUUAGACUGGGGGUGAUAAGCAGUAGCAAUCUUGUGCUUCACAUCAUAUUUAUCAAGCAACAACUUAAGUCAUUUGUUCACAAAGUGAGAACCUUCAUCACUAAUAAUAGCUAUUGGUGUCCCAAAUCGUGUAAACACAUGCUUAUGUAGGAAUCGCAUGACUACCUUAGGAUCUAACUUCUGAUUCAAAAAAUGGUCCUUCCGAGUGGCUUUGUUCAACUUUUUGUAAUCAAUACAGAUUCUCCAACCGAGAAUAGUUCUCGUCGGAAUUAACUCGUUACGCUCAUUUUCAACAAUCGUGAUUCCACCUUUCUUUGGCACACACUGCACCGGACUUACCCACGAACUAUCUGAAAUAGGAUAGAUGAUUCCUGCAUCUAACCGUUUGAUCACUUCCUUUCUCACAACUUCUUUCAUGAUAGGAUUGAGCCUUCUUUGCCCAUCAAUUCAGGUCUUUCACCUUCUUCUAAAAUGAUUUUAUGCAUGCAAAAAGAAGGGCUUAUACCUCGAAUGUCAGCUAUGGUCCAACCAAUUGCUUUCUUCAACUUCUUUAAAACAGCAAUCAGUUAUUCCUCUUGAUCUUUCGUUAGUUCUAUUGAAAUAAUCACAGUCAAAGUAAAAUAGUCACCUAAAUAAACAUAUUUCAAAAGGGAAGGAAGUACCUUUAGUUCAAGUGUAGGUUGUUCUUCGGUUGACAACUUGGGUUGCACAAAUUCUCUGACUUCUAACUCCAACAGUUCAAACCGUGUGGAUUGAAUAAAAUUUCUCGGAUUGGCUUCCAUCAAAGCCAUGUUUUUUCACCUUCUUCAUCCUCCAAAAGGUCAAACUCUAAGGCUUUCUCCAAUGGAUCUUUCUCAAAAUUUCUUUCCAUAGAAACCAAGGUUUCUAUCUCUUCCAUAACUGAACACUCCUCUAUCGGAUCGAGAAAUUUCAUCGCUUUAAGAAUGUUAAAGGUUACCUGAUCAUUUUGAACUCGCAUGGUGAGUUCUCCUUCCUGCACAUCAAUUAACAUUCUUCUCGUGGCUAGGAAAGGUCUCUUAAGGAUAAUUGGCACUUCCUUAUCUGCUUCAAAAUCUAAAAUAAUGAAAUCAAUAGGAAAAAUACAUUUAUCGACUCUUACCAAAACAUCCUCGAUCUUUCCUUCGCGAUAUGCUAACGAUCGAUCCACUAGCUGAAGCGUCAUAGUUGUAGGUCUUACUUCACCUAUCCUUAACAUCUUGAAGAUAGACUUAGGCAUCAAGUUGAUACUUGCUCCUAUUCACCAAUAUUAUAAGGUAUAGUAAAGCUUCCUGGGUCUUUCAAUUUCGGUGGUAGUUUGUUCUGUAGGAACGCACUGUACUCCUUUGUCAAGCCAAUAGUCUCAUACUCACUCAUUCGCUUCUUCUUGGACAGUAUAUCCUUCAUAAACCUUACAUAAUUUGGCAUUUAUUCUAAAGCCUCCACCAACGAGAUAUUGAUGUGUAACUACUUCAGAAUAUCCAAAAACUUCUUGAAUUGCACCUCUUAUUUCUGCUUGUGUUGCUACAAUCUUUACGAAUAUGGAGGUGAUGGAACUUUCGGUUGAAUCGGACAACUUUUCUAAGUAGGUAAAUCUGCAUCCAAAGAAGAUGUUAAAAUAUCUGAAUUCACUAAGUCAGGGUUUACCUUGUCAGACUUUGCAGAAUUGAUUCCUUUGGUGUAGGAACUUCAACAUCUGGUUGACUUUCCUCCUUUUCAGACUUUGCAGAAUCUGAUUCCUUUGGGGUUCCAGAGUCUUACCACUUCGCAGUACCACUACAUUGAUAUGUUCUUUACCAAAAUUCCUUGGAUUCUAAGUAUUGCUCGGCAAGGUUCCUUGUGGUCUAUUACGAAGCUCUGUAGCCAACUGACCCAUUUGGUUUUCCAAAUUUUUCAGUGUUGCUACUUGGCUUUGGAUCAAAGUGCCUUUCUUUGCUAUGUACGCUUUCAACAAGUUCUCCAAAUUGUUUGAUGCCUCAGCUUGAGGUGCUUUUGGAGCUUGCUGAUUAAACCCUUGAGAUUGGUUGGGUCUUUGCUGCAAUAAGUUUUUGUUCGUUCCAUUUCUUUGGUUGCUCCAAGAAAAGUUAGGAUGAUUACGCCAUGAAGGAUUGUAGAAGUUGGACUGGGGUCCUUGUCCACUCCUAUUUUGGUAUUGGUUCCCCACAUAGUACACUGACUCGAGAUUUGAUGGAGAAUUCUCAAAACAAUGACCUUCCCCAUAGUACACACAGGAAACUACUUCAAACGGACUUGGUGGCUGAGCUACAAAAUUAUUUGUACUAUUAGCGAUUAACUAUUUUAACAUGGAGGAAAUAGAUGAUACCUGAGCUGAUAACGAAGUGAGAGAAUAAACUUUAAGAACUCCGGCUACACGCCUUCCUAAAGUUGUUUGAUUUGUUGGCCAUUGAUAGUUAUUACUCGCGAUCCUCUCGAUAAUCUCAUAAUCCUCAUUAUAAGACUUAGAAAAAAUUGCACCAUUCGUGGAAGCAUCUACCAUCAAUCUUGUAUGUGCAUUGAGACCAUUAUAGAAUGUCUCCAACUGGAUACAAUGAGGAAUCCCAUGAUGAAGACACUUACGAAGUAACUCCUUAAAUCGCUCCCAAACCUCAUACAAAGACUCGUCAUUAAUUGUUGGAAAGUUGUGAUCUUAUUCCUUAACUUAGCGUUCUUACUAGGUGGGAAAUACUUAACCAAAAAUCUCUCUGCUAAUUCUUGCCAUGUAGAUAUGGAACUUGGUGGCAAUGAAUUGAGUCAUGCUCCUGCUCAGUCUCGCAACGAGUACGAAAACAAAUUCAACCUCAAUACGUCUUCAGUCACCCUAUCUAUCUUGAAUGAAUCACUCACCUCCAUAAACAAUUGAAGGUGGAGAUGUGGAUCUUCCGUUGGCAUACCACUAAAUUGGCCCACCGUUUCUAGCAUUUGAAACAUCACUGGUUUCAAUUCAAAUUGGCUUGCCUCAAUAUCUAGGUUUCUAAUUCCUAGGUUUAACUCACUGAAAAGUGGCACAGCAUAUUGACUGAUGUAUCGAUCCCAAACAUCGGCUAUAAGGAUAGGAUUUCGUACAUAAUCGGCUUCAUUACCUUAGUCUUUAUUCUGAUUUCCAUGGUCCAUCUCGACUUCUCUUUUAGUUAUUCGUUCACAUCUUCUUUGUCUGAAAGUUCACUCAAUUUCAAGGUCUACAGGGAGUAAAUCGAUAAUUCGAUCUAUGCUCAUAAACACCUGAGAAGAAAAUCACAAAAAUAAAAAAGAAUAAGUAAGUACUGUUAGAAAUAAAACAAAUUGAAAAUAAAUAAUUUCAUGAAAAAAGUGAAUAUGGCAAUAGUUGACAAUCCCCGGCAACGGCGCCAAAAACUUGUAACACUGGGGUUUGUGCUAGUGUCCACAGUCGUUAUCAAGUAAUAAGUAAGUAUCGAGUUAUCAUCUCCACAGGGAUUGUAUUUGUGCUAAGUCACUUAAUUUGUAAAAUUAUAUUAACAAUUUGGUAAAUAAAAACACAAUAUAGUCGAGAAGUGGUGAUUAAAAUAUAUUAAACUACAUGCAAUGAUCCCUAAUGCAAAUUAACCUAGGUAUGCAAACUAUAUAAAUGAAAUAGAUUUUAGUGAAAUUAAACAAAAUUUGCAACAAUUAUAACAUAAAUAAACUAGUACAAUUACUUUAAUUAAACUCAAUUUAUUAUCAACAUGCUUAAUAACAUUCGAAAAAACAUUCUAUGGCAACUCCAUCUUUCAUGAGUUUGGAAACCACCUUAGGUCCUUUCGGAAUCCUUUACUUAGUAAAUACACAUUUUAUUGAUCCUUAUUUACUAAGGGUUUCUUAGCAUUCGUGUGAGGUAACAAGGACGUGUUAGGUUUGAAACAAUUUAAUCACACAAAUCUAAAAACUAUGCAGAUAACAGAGCUUGGUUAGAGUUGUUACGCAACCUACAAUUCAAUCGGGUUAGGAUCUAAAUUGAGCAUGCACAUUUCAAUUAUGCGUCCAUUAGCUGUCGUCUGGUUAGGAUCGCUCAGCUAAUUCAGAUGCAUUUCAAUCACGUAUGAACGAAAUAUAGACUUGAUUUUAAUUGGAAACAUGAUUGAUUGAGGCACAAACAUUAUAAGCAUGGAUCAAGAAAAUAUUAUUUAAUCAAAAUAAUCAUCCUAGCUUAAAUAAAAUUAAGCUAUCAUUGUUGUAAACAAGAACAAAGAACACAUAGCAUACAUCUUUAAAUUAAAUUUAAAGAAAAAAAAGAUUAAACCCAAUUCAGAGUGGCUAUCACCCAAGACUCUAACUGACGAGGCUCAUUCGCUUCUUUAUGUUGCUCAUUUGCUAAUGGCUCUCCAAGGUGGCCGACCAAGGGUUCUUUGAAAGGCUUAAUUGCUAAAAUCCUUAUGCAAGGAUGAUGAAGGGGAAAGAUAGCUAAAAGAGUUGAGAGAAUGAUGAAUGAGUGAGAGAUGAUGGGAUGAGGGAUGAGGGAUGAUUGCACAAGUGAGAAAUGAGCUCUUAUUUAUAGGUGAGGCAAGGGAGCUGGUUUGCUAAAAAUAGGAGUGUCCAUCCUUUAAAACUUCCUCCAAGAGUGGUCGGCCUUGAAUUGAGGAAAGGUGGCUUAUUUUUUCUUGAUUUUUGGUCAAUUUGAGUGCCAUAAAAACUCAAGACUAAGACUCGGCCAUCAGCAAAUCUUCGGGAAAAUCUCUAAUUUCUUUAACUCUUGAAGGACUUUGUAUAAUUAAACUAAAAAUGGUUUAUGACAUCCAUGUGCAGCUGAAAAUUGGGUUGACUUCGUCCCCAAUUUGGACGGCUUUGCAAUUAGAAAAAAACUCUCAGCCCUGUCCAAAAAUAGUAGAUAGUUUGGGGGACCAAAUAAUAUAAUUUAACCACUCUAAUUAAUCAAUUUAUUUAAUUAAUUAAAACCCAAUUUAUUAAUGAAUUAUUAAAAAUGAAUUAUUAAAUAUAACUUUAUAUUUUAUUAUUUAAUUCAAUCAUGCAUGGCCCACUUUAUAACUUAAAAAUAUAAUAUGCUCAAAUUAAUAUAAAAUAAGCCAUUUUAUGCAUGAAAACUAUAUAAUAAAGUAUAAAAUCACAUUUUAAUAAUUUCUAUGUCCUAAUUUAUUUUCGCAUAUUUCAUUAAUUUAUUAAACAAUUACUUGGUUUUAACAACAAAUUUAAGUAAAAAGGUAAUGAAUUAUAUAGGAAAAAUCCUAUAUACUUUUCAGUUUACACCUCCUAAACUCCUUGUUCCACUUGGGGAACCCUCUUCGCCAAAUCCUCAUAUGAGGCUUGCUUUUCCUUUAUCUACUGCAAAAGGGUUGGUUUCACCUUUAAUUUUGCAAGCAGUCCCGCAUCGUAUGUCACACUCAAAUGAACGAACAGAGCUCACAGUUCACUCACUAAUUUUCAACUUAAGGCAUCUAUGACCACAUUCACCUUUCCUGGGUAAUAUUCUAUCACACGAUCUUAGUCUUUUAGUAUCUCUAUCCACAUCCUUUGUCUAAAGUUUAGUUCUAUCUAUGUGAGUAAGUACUUGAGCUCUUAUGGUUAGUCUAGAUAGUACACUGUUCGCCAUACAAGUAGUGUCACCAAAUCUUGAGUGCGAAGACCACUACUUCUGACUCCAUAUCAUGCAUUGGGUAGUUUCGUUCAUGAGGCUUCAACUGUUUGGAUACAUAUGUCACCACCCUUCCUUUCUAUACCAGUACGCAACCAAAACCCAAGUGCGAUGUGUCACAAUAGACUACAAUGUCUUUCUUAGGUUUUGGUUGAACCAACUCAUGUGCUUUAGUGAGUAUCGCCUUAAGUCUCUCAAAGCUUUUCUGUCUUUCUUUCGUCCAUGUGAACUCCUCAUAUUUCUAUGAUAACUUUGUUAAGGGUGUCGCAAUAGUGGCGAAUCUAUCAACAAAUCUGCGAUAGUAACCUGCGAGCCCUAAAGGCUUCGUACCUUUGUGACACUUCUUAGAGAUCUUCACUCUAGGAUUUCCUCAAUCUUCUUUGCGUCCACGCAAACUCCCUCUACUAAGACCACAAGACCCAAAAAGGCUACUUCCUUUAACCAAAAUACAUAUUUGUUGAACUUCACAAAUAGUUGCUUCUCACGUAAAAUUUGUAACAAUGUUUGCAAGUGAGCAUCAUGUUCUUCAUCGGUUAGCAAGUACACCAGGAUAUCGUCUUUUAAGACCACCACACACUAGUCCAAAUACUUGUGGAACACUCGAUUCAUCAAGUCCAUGAAUGCAACAGGUGCAUUUUUCAAUUUAAAGAGCAUAACUAGGAAUUCGUAGUGCCCAUACCUUGUGUGAAAAGCUAUCUUCUAAACAUUUGCUUCCUUAAACUUAAGCUAGUAGUACCAUGAUUGCAAGCCUAUCUUUGAAAAUAUUGUGGCACCUCGCAACUGAUUGAAUAGAUUGUCAAUUCAUGGCAAUAGGUACUUAUUUUUUACAAUCAAUUUAUUCAAUUAUCUAUAGUCAUUAGAGAUUCUCAGGUUUUCAUUUUUCUUCUUUACAAACAAUACUGGUGAUCCCCAUGGUGACACACUUGGUCAAAUAAAACCCCUGUCGAGUAGCUAUUGUAGUUGGAUCUUCAGUUCCUUAAUCUCUUUUGGUGCCAUUCGAUAAGGUGUAAUAGACACUGGCGAACUAUCUAGGUAUAACUCAAUGGAUGAUUCCACUUCGCAGUUUGGGGGUAUUCCAAGUAGCUCAUCUGGAAAUAAAUCAGGAUUGUCUUUCACCGUGCGAAUGUCACAAAAUCCUAUCGGUUUACUUGGUGAGCCCACCACAUAGGCGAGGUAGGCUUGGCAGUCUUUCCCUAUCAACUUCUCUGCCCUAAUUAUUGAGACCAUAUUGGACAAGAAUUGAGUUCACUCACCAACCAUCAUAAUUUCCAUCCCUUCACCAUUUCACAAGGUUACCCUCUUAAGUGCAAAGUGUAUUUUGGCUUUAUUCACAAGCCUUGUUAUUCCCUUGACUUUGCUAGUUGAUGGUUCUUGAUUUCUAAAUGCUGGGAUCUUAAGACUUACCGACAGAAUGAUUGACAGCAAAUUUAGGAGAAUAGCAUAUGAAAUUCCCUUAUUAGCAAGGACUUUAUUGGCUCUAAGUGUCCUAAUGUCCUUAGGAUACUCUAAUCGUAAUAGAAGUAAAAUUUAAUUACUUGCAUGGAUACUGUUGCAAAGAGAAAAGCAAGCUGACUUUUCUAACCGAGGUAUGACUCUACUUUGACUAUUCUUACUUAUGACUUAUAGCCAACAAUUGUAGUUUCCCGACCACUGGUGAUCCCUGCUUCGCCAAGCCUACUGGUAAUCUAAGUUCCCUAACUUCUUUAACAUACUCCAGCUCAUUAAGCCUUCUGGCAAACUCCUACUAGCCAAGCUUAUUGGCGUACUUUAGCUAGCCCAACUUGCUGGUCAUAUACCUUGUAACACUCCUAACCCAUCUUCAUCGUUGGAUUAGGGUUACAGAGUAUUAUAGUACAAUUUAGAACAUUCAGUAUCACACAGUGUCAAUUUUACAAUUUAAUUAUCAAAUUUUCAUAUAACAUUUAAAUUAAAGUGAAACAUACAUUUAUGGGCCUUAAAUCCAACCUAUGAUGCCUUAAAAAUAGUUUUGCAACAAUUAGGGACCAACUCGAUACAAAUCAAAAUAUUUGGGGCAAAUAUGAAAAGUUUGAAAAUAGGGGUCACACGUUCUAGUGACAGAGCCCAGACCGUGUGGCUCCAACCAUGGCCGUGUGGCUAUCCCACAUGCUCGUGUGCUCACUCGUGUGUCUGCCCAUGUAACUUAUUGACUUGGGUUACACAGCCAUGACACAGGUCGUGUGCCAGCUUGUGUGAACCCUACACCUAACAUGUUCGGGGCACACGACCGUGUGAUAGCUCAUGUCCCAGGCCAUGUGUGCCAAAAAUGACCCAAAACUUGCCCAUUUCACAUCCAAUUGAUUAGGUACCUAAUUAUACACUUACACACAUGUUCACAAGACUUUGGGAUGCAUUUUGAACCACUCAAAUCAAGUUAAUUAACCAUCCUAUGUGCCUAACCAAUGUGCCACCAUUGACACCACAUUUCAAUCGCAUAUCAACAAAUUAUCAAGCUAAACUUUCAACCCAUCCAUGCACACCACAUCAAACAGAAUAACUUACCAAUUCAUGCUUGAUUACCAUCAAACACUCAUACCUUCACUAUAAUUAAGCAUACAUACCGCAAAUAGCUACUUGACACAACAAUAUUACGAGUACAUCAAGCUACCACAUAUGUGCUUAAAACUAUCACAAAACAUCCACCACCUAUUACGUGCCUAUAAGCCAAAGUUACACUCAAAGUAUACCAAAAUCUUCUCAGAUACUGUGAUUCUUCGAGUUGAUUCGAUCUCCCAAUUUAAAAAAAACAUAAUCUAUAAAGAAAAAGACAAGGACAGGAGUAAGCUUACAUAAAGCUUAGUAAGUUCGUAGGUUAAAUGAUUAAUCUUAUCGAAUUAAAAUAAUAAUUCAAAUAACAAGGUUACUAACAAAUUUCUGGCCAAGCAUAACUCACUACAGGUGAGUAAUGCUCAAAAAAUAGUACAAAUCAAUUUCUCACAUUUGAAUAACAUUCAAUGAUCAAUAAAACAUUACUCGAUGAGCGAUAUACAAAUAAGAGUACUUGGUUAACCAUCCAGAACACACCAGACACUCAUAUGAGCCAAUCCAAUCAAUAACACACCUCGACACUGAGUGUCUAGCCCGUAGGCUAACAUAUGCCCCCGUAACACACCAGAAAAACAUUGUAAUAUAACACAAUAGUCUACAAUGUAUGUAGGACCUCAAUAUAUUCAGUGAAUAUAGGAUAUACAGAAAUCAUCAUCACAUCUCAUGCCAAUCCCGUCCAAUUUGCAAAACAACCUAUUGGCAUACCAAUCGUACUCUAUCCUACAUUAAUCGGCUCAACAUAUUCCAAUCAGUGAUCGAUACCAUAUCAAUUCAUUAUUUUCAUUCCCAAAUACAUGCAUCAGUAUUAUCCAUCAUUCUACAAUUAAGUUCAUAUAAUAUACAUUUAAAAUGUAUUAAAAUCGAACCGAACGAACUUACCAGAUUAAACUACAGCGAUGACAAAGGUACGAGGACUAUUCAACUUCUCUAUGCCUCGAUUUUCAGCCUAUUCUUGAUCUAGAAUAAUAAUUUCAUUCAAUUAACUAAUUCCAAUAAUGAAAUUAACUCAUUUUAUGCAACUAAGUCUUUCUGGACUAUUUGACAAAAUUGCCCCCAAUAUUUUACUUUUAUGCAAUUUAGUCUCUAAGCUCAAAACAUGCAAUUUAACCAAUUUUAAUUAAAACUAAGUUCAAUCGAAUUGUAUAGAACUCCACUACAACACAUAUUUGCUGUUAUUUCAUAUCAAUUCCUUGUAAUUUUAUCACUGUAACAUUUUAGUCUUUAAACAUUAAAAGUACUAAAAACUACUUUACAAAAUAGUCCUAUUUAACAACCCAGCUUAAUAAUCUACCAUAAAACUUCAAGAACAACUCAAACUCAUCAAUGGAAUAAUCUAUAACAUUUAAUAGUUUUACAAAUUAGUCCCCAGGUUAGCUAAAUCAAGAUAAUACGAGCUCAAAAACAUAAAAAUUACUAAAACGAGAUCAAGGAUCACUUACAUACCCCAACCCUAGCUUGACCAAAAUUUUUCAAGAACAACUCAAACUCAUCAAUGGAAUAAUCUAUAACAUUUAACAGUUUUACAAAUUAGUCCCCAGGUUAGCUAAAUCAAGAUAAUAGGAGCUCAAAAACAUAAAAAUUACUAAAAUCGGGAUCGAGGAUCACUUACAUACCCCAACCCUAGCUUGACCAAAACUUUCUUCUCCCAUAACAAUGGCCAUUUGAUUUCCAUAAGAAAAGAACAGAAGAUGGUAACUUAAUUUAGUAUUCUUUUAAUUUAACCUUUUAUUUACUUAAUUUACAAUUUUAACCUUUACAUUAUGACUUAUAAAAAAAAUAAAACAUGUCCAUAUUUUUCCAUCAAAUGAGAAUAUGGUAUAAUUACCAUCUAAAGGGAUUUAAUUGCAUAAUUGGUCCUUUAAUUUUUUUAAAUUUUUAACUAAACAAGCUUAAUUUCAAUUUAACCCUAAACUAAUUAGGACUAAACGAGCAAAUAGCCCAAAAGCUAGAGGAUUAAUCAUAUCCACCACCGCUUGGAACUUUUUACCAUGAUUUAAUCACCAUUUUGGUCUAUUUACUAAUUUAAAUCUAUAGCGAUUAACUUUUACCACUUUUACAAUUUAAUCCUUUUACCUUAAUUAAGCAACCAAUUGUCAAAAUUACCUUACCAAACCUCAAUUCUCCUAUAAUACGACUCUAUAAACAUUUAAUAAAAAUAUUUACGGCUUUAAGUUACGGAAAUGGGUCCCAAUACCUCAUUUUUAAAAAUCACUUGACUUUUAGAUUGAACCACAUAUACUAACCAUUAAUUCAAUUAAUUAAAAUUCAUCAAAUGAAAAUUCAAUAUAAAAAUUAUUAUUGACUCGUGUAAUUUAAAUACUAAUUUUAUGAACAUACUCAUCAUAUUUAUGGUCUCGAAACCACUAAAAAAUGGGUUUUUACAGACUUGCUCAUAAAUCUAAUGUUGUAUACAUGAUUAUUAUUUCCUUUGGCAAGCCCCUAUUCACUGAUCUUAUUGAUGAGUACCUAUUCGUCACACUCUUGGGCAAUUUCCUAUUCGCCAAACUCUUUGGCGAACCCAGCUCAUCUGGCCCCAUACUUUUAGGCCUUACUUCAAGAUGUUACAAUUGCAAACCCAAACAAAACUGUCUACAAGCAAAGAUAAGGGAAAAGCUAAGCUUCCCUAAGUUUUCAGCGAAUUGGUGAGUGUUCAAGGAUAGCCACUUGUAUUUCAAAUCAUAAUGUUUAUUAGGAGCUUAGGGUUUUGACCUAAUUUCUGAGAGUAAGUAUUUUCUAUAACUUUGUUUAAUGAACGUAUUUAAAUAUGUAUUUUUAUGAACAGUAAUAUGUUAGCUCUACAUGGUGAGCUCCAUAUGAUUUCAUGUUUUGCAAGCUUUGUGUUAAGUAAAUGAUUUGACAAGUUAACCUUCUAAAUCUAUUGGAUAUAAUGGCAUACCAUAGGAUACUGAGUACUCACCUUUAUGUUUUAUGUUUUGGGUAUUGAGCCUUGUGACAGUAUGGAAUGAUUUUUUAGCCUUGUUCUACACUUAUAAGACAUGUUAAGGACUCGUUGAGUCAUUCUAAGGCGUUAUAAUGAGAUUCACUUAUCCAAACGGAACAAACAAGUGAAUAAGAUUGUGUUUCUGAAAGCAUAAGUUUUUACUAAGUUAGCUGACUGUAAGUGUUUGCGAACCAGGCUUCACACAAGUCUGGCAAGCCUUGUAGAUAGUUCAGUAACUAUGUCUAUGUUUCUAUUUAACUUAUGUUUUGCCCGUGCUUUGUAGUUAUUCUUUCCUGUUUGAUGUGAGCCUGACUACGUGGGCCUUUGAUUGGGCAAAACUCAAUUCUCUUCUACGUGGGCCUUUGAUUGGGCCAAGACUCAAUUCUCUUUCUUUAUUGGGCCACAAAUUAAAGGGCCAAAUUGGGUUUUUACCCUCAUAACACAAGUUGGGUCUAAACAUGAAGAUUGGACCAAACGUGAGGGACCCAAAUGCAAGCUGAAAUGCAACCUCUUCGAAGUGGUUGUCUCGGCCAUAUUUUCCAGCCACUUAGUAGUGGAACUUCAGUUUCCUACUUAAUUUCUAUUAUGAAUGUUUUAUUUUUUUGUGUAUUAUAGUUUUAUGUUUUAAUAAUGCUCAUGCAUGUUUUGAGCUUAAGUGUUUAUGUCAUUUGUUCAUUUCUCAUGUGUCUGUUAUUUUUAUUUCGUAUGUUAAGAUAUGUGAUUGUUUAAUUUUAUGUGUCAUGUCAUGUGUUUUUUCUUGUGUUGAAAUGAGCUUAUGUUUGUUCUAUUUAUAUGUGAUUUAGGUACAUUAGCUGGCCAUAUUUAUACCAUACAUGUACCUUGUGGAUUUUCACCUUGUUCUCUAAAUUCAUGUACGACCAAGGGAGGAUGAAUGGAUUAAACGCAUCACAUUGAACUCGAGAGAUACAUUGGCAAGAAGGGAAGAAAGUCCAUAAACAUGUAUCAUCAAGGGGGGACAUUUUUUUUACUAUUCGGUCGAUUCAAUGAAUGCCAAGAUACAUGUACGAUUAAGGGAAACGUAUGUGACUUAUGUAGCAUAUGUUGAACCUUGAAAAUGCAUGGAUGAUAAUUAGCAGAUGCAUGGAUGGCAAAGGGGAAGAGAAUGUGACCAUUCACAUAAACGUUGAACAAUUAGAUGCAUGCAUGUCAAGGAGGGAAGCAUAAGACUUUUUGUUCAUUUAAUGUAUGAAUAAAUACAUGAACUCCUUUGGUUCAUGAAUGGGUUUGAUGCAUCUAAUUAUUAUUGGAAAAAUUUUUCCAUUCAUCUAUCUUAGUAGUUUUCCUAUAAAUAGUUGUGAUUGUAGACAUUUGAAGGCUAAUGAACAUUUUAUAUAUUUGAGUUAAAUCUCUUUUGUUCUUUGACAACUUAAAAAUUGAACUUAUCUAGAAUUGUUUUCUUCUAGUGUUCACUACCUUCAAUCUUAUCACUUCCCUUCUCACCUAUUUUCAAAGUGUGCCAAUCAACCCUAUAUCAUUGGUUCAUAUCUCUUUAUAGAUAGUGGGUCACAAUUCUUAUUCGUUUCCCAAAAUUUUUGAGUUUUAAACAACUUUAUAGAAAUUGGGUCUCGUCAUUAUAUAACGUAGGAUAAUUUCUAAGCUUGUUUCAAGUUCGAAAGUUAUAUCCCUUUUAUCACAUUGUUUUUUAUCCUUCUUUUUUCCACUCUUUUAUAAUAUUUCAAGAGUUUGAUCACAUAAGAAAUUGUAACGCCCUAAAACCAACCUAGACAUUACGUCUGAAUCUCGAAGAUCACAUUGGCCAUGGCAAUGGUGUGAAAAAUCAUUUAACUAUUUCUCCCAACUAACGUCGUUACUAAAAAAUUGUCAUUUUGAUUUUCUUGAGAAAAAUCAAAUAGUACCUUCAAGUUUUCUUUUGGAAAAAAUUUGUCAAAAUCGAUUUUCUUGAGAAAACUCUAGUUUCGAUUGUUUUUAGAAAACAUCAUGUUUCAAAACAGUCACAGCAAAAAAUAUUUUACCUACAUCUCACUCAUUGAUUUGAAAUCAUAAUUUUGACAUAUCUUGUAAAAUAUCAGUUAAAUGAGAAAAUAGUGUUGAGUUUUGAAAACAAAGUCUUGAGUAUGAAAUAACGAUUGUUAAGUUGAGUUUGUCGUUAGGUUGAAAAUCCAGUUUUUCUUACUAAAUUCAUAAAUAGUCUUAGGUGAACAACAUUACAAUUGAGUGACGUUUUCUUUUAAAAAUAAAUAAAUUUUAUUAAAUAUUUUUCAAAGAAAUAAAAUUAGUCAAUCUUAAAAAUUUUACUUUUCAAACUCAAAACCUUUAUUUUCAAGUAAACAAAUAAUUUCGCACUUCGUUAACAUAAUUACUAAGAUUCAGCCAUAACGUCUAGACCAGGUUUGGGGAGUUCCAUUUAAUGGUAUUAGAGCCCGAUUCAAAACUCAGACUGUGUAUUUUAAUGGGUCUCUAUGCAUAUUUUAAAAGAAUUUUUGGCAAACCUUUCUUUCUAUUAAAUUUAAAGAUUUUUAAACCUCGAAAAAUUAAAAAUUUGAGACUCCCAAAGCUGAUCCAAGAUAAGUACUCCUUACUUAAGAUUAUGAUAUUUUAGAUAGUAUGUUUUCAAAUAGUAAAAACUCUGAUAAAAAAUAUUCAAGUGAUAACAUGGAAUUUACUUUUGUAAUUGUUAGAUAAUUCACAAAAUUUAAGUACUAUGAAUAAUCAAGGGGUUAGAACUCGUGGUGCACAUCGUUGUGCGGCUAAAGAAGAGUCAUUCACUAUUCGAUUGCCUAUACCAGACCUCAGUGUCAACGAGGAUGAUCCUGUUAUAGAAAUUAUGAGCGAUGUGCCUGAGGAAUUUGUUAAUGGAGAGGAAAAUCAUGAAUCUGUUGAUGGUAUGAUUUCCCAAACACUAUUGAGGGUUUUAUAGCGGGUUGUUAAAGGCCAACCAGAAACUGGAAGUCGUAAGUCUAUUACUGAUAGGCUUCGGUCGAGUAGAGUCGAAGUAUUUAGAGGAGUUGCUAGGACGACCCUUACGGUAGCUAAGUACUAGAUUUCAUCUAUUGAGAGGAUCUUGGAUAAUUUUUACUAUACCCUAGAACAUAAACUUAAGGGUACAGUGUCUCUUUUGAGAAAUGAGGCAUUUUGUUGGUGGAAAUCUAUCAUGGAAGGUACCCAGCCAAAGAAGAUAACUUUGGAUUAUUUCAAAACUGCCUUUCAUAAAAAAAAUAUGGGAUCGAGGUAUGUUGAAGCCCGAAAACUUCAUUUUAUUAAAUUGAAGCAAAGGGACCAAACCAUAUCCGAGUAUGAGGCUGGGUUAUUAAGCCUGAACCGGUAUGCACAAGGGGUGGUAGCUUCAGAGUAGAACAACUGUGUUAGAUUUGAGAAUAGGCUGAGGUAUGACCUCAAGGUCCAAGUUGUCAUAUUGUAGGAGAGAGUCUUCGAGACUUUAGUAGACAAGGUGAAGAUCCUUGAAAAGGUGAAAUAGGAUAAGCAAGAUAGAAGAGAUAAGACCAAGAAUCUAGUGAAGAGAGAUUUUGGUCUGGGAAAUUCUAAUCCAUGCCCAGUGAAGAGGGUCCGUGAAAAUAGACCACGUCAGUACCCUGCUAUUGCAAGUAACAGAAAUUAGACCCGCAAUUAUGCUUACUGUGGGAAGUCUCACAAUAGGAAAUGUUGAAAGAGCAAGGGAGCAUGCUCUAGGUGUGGGGCGUGGCAAUAACAAAAUGAUAAUAGUGGGUGGAGGACAAAUGGUCAAGGUACGAACUGCACUAAUGUUAGACAGCCCACCUUGGUUUAUGCAGCAAGGCACCAAGAGGACGGUAAUGCGGCUGAUGUUAACGCAGGUACUUUUAUAAUAAAUUUUGUACAAUACUUUGCUUUGAUAGAUAUAGGAUCAACUCAUUCUUAUGUUUCCUGCUCUAUGACUGAUAAAUUGGGAGUUCUAGUGGAAAUUAAUGUUAGCGGCAUAACUGUACUCAGUCCCCUAGGACAAUUUAUGUAUGUGAAUAAAAUAUUUAGGAGAUGUCCUCUAGAAAUUUAGGGUGAGUUGUUUCCAGCUGACUUGAUGGAGCUGCCAUUCAGUGAAUUUGAUCUUAUUUUGGGCAUGGAUUGGUUGAAGGAGCAUCGAGUUAGCCUUGAUUGUGAUACAAAGUCGGUUACUCUGAGGAAUUCAACCAGAAAGGAGAUAGUUAUGAUCUAUAAGCACCAAUAUUACUUGUCCAAUGUGAUCUCUACUUUGGUAGCCGAGAAAUUAGUUCAUAAAGGGUGCGAUGCCUAUUUGGCGUACAUUCUGGAUAUGAAAGCUGAUGCCUCAAUGUUAGAAAGCAUAUGUGUAGUGAAAGAGUUUCCUGACGUCUUUCUAGAAGACUUGCCAGAUCUACCUCCAAAAUGCGAGGUUGAUUUUGGGAUUGAGUUGCUACUUAGGAUAGCUCCGAUGUUUAUUGCUCCCUACUAAAUGGCACCUAAGAAGCUUAAAGCAUAGUUGCAAGAGUUUUUAGACCAUGGUUUUAUCUUGGAGAGCUCCAGUUCUACUCGUGAGGAAGAAGGAAAAUGGUAUGCAUUGAGUGUUAACUCGGUCUUCCUGGAAUUUUCACAACAUUCGUGCUGAAAAAAUGUCUAACCUUUUGCCCUGGUAAAACUUCACUCCUUUAUUUCUCGUUCCUCAACCUACACCUGCAAAAGCACCAAACACAACCCUACCACAAGCAAUUAAAAGUACCUAAUAUUUAAACAAAGUCCAAGCUCCUAAUGGAAUGAUGAAGAUGUGAAUGAAAUGUCCUAAAAUGCAACUAAAUGUACCUUGGUGCAAGUAAUUAGCUAGGCCUUAAAGCAUGAAAUAUAAAUUUUUUCAAGAGUUAUCACACCCUCAAACCUGAGUUAUUACUUUUCCUCAAGCCAAAUACAUAUGAAUGCAUGAAUCCAUAAAUUUUUACCCUUCCAUAUAACUAUCUUAUACUGUUAAUCUAUUAAAAGAACAACAUAUACAUCAGUUCUCAGUAGUCUUCUUUCUCUAAAAGCUUUAUUGAAUGUCAAAGGUUCAUUUCAAAAAAGGUAGUGUAGAAAAUUUGUCCCUAAAAAUAAAUUUCCUAAAUACUCAUGUAUGCUUUCUGGCCAUAGAAAAUAUCUCCUAAUGCACUCAGUCCAUUUGUAACCUAAACUGUAACAGCCUAUUUUUAGUGAAAUCGAGACCACAAAUCCUACGUGAAAAUAUUUAUAUUAUUAUUUUAAUGUCUAUGGCAUGUUAAUAGUGUCAUUUGCAUGCUUAAUUUAGUGAGAAUGGCUAAAUUGUAAAAGGUGUAAAAGUAGAGUUCUAGUAGCUAAAGGUAUCAAAUAGCUAUAGAACUUUAAUGUAAGAGUACUUAGGUGGUAAUUAGACCAUUUAUGUGGUAGUGGAAAUUUAUGGGUUUGGUUUUAUUAACAUUAGGGAUACUUUUAAAGGUUUAAAAUGUAAUUAACUAAAAAAAGGUUAAUAUAAUAAAAACAAAAUAAAGAAAUAAGAUAUCUUCCUAUCUUCAUCCUUAGCUGAAAUAUUCAAGGGAAACCAUAGCUAGGUUUCAGUCAAGCUAUAUUCACCGGUAUGUAAGUGGUUUUUGUUUCGUUUUAAUGAUUUCUAUGUUUUUGAAGUUGUUGUAGCUUAAUCUAGCUAGCCCAGGGACUAAUUUGCAAAACUAUUAAAGGUUUAAGGUUUUACCAUGAAUUUUCUUACAUGAUUUAAGAAGUUUGAUGAAAGAUUAUGAGUCCUUGUGGUUAAAUAAACAAUUUUUGUAAAGUGAUUUUUGAUGAAUUUGUCAUUUAAGGACUUAUUUGUAAAAGUAGUAAAAUACCAUGAUAAAUUUGUGAAAUGUCGAUUUGUAUGAGGUUGUAUGAGCCCCUAGGCAAAUCAACUAGCAUGAUAUGUGGAUGAAAUUGCAUAAAUGACAAUUUACGAGCUUAAGGACUAAAUUAUAAAUAAGUUAAAACAUUAGGGGCAAAAAUGUACAUCUGCAAUAGUAUGAAUUUUGGACUAAAUUGAAUAGUAUGUGUAUUAAAAAAUAUUGAAUUUUCUUAUUUAGAUAAAGAUAAACCUUGUACGGAUUUAGAUCGAGGAAAGGCUAAAGUCUCGGAUUAGUGAUCCUAUUUUGACGUCUUUGUAAUCAAGGUAAAUUUGUAUGUUUAAAUAACAUUAUAAUGUUAUUUUGAUAUUUAUGCAUUGUAAUAUAUAUCAUGUAAAGAAAUUAUGAGAAUCCAAUGACGUUACGAUGACUAUCGAGCUCCGUUUGAACCUUAGGAAUAUAUAGGAUACAAAUGAAAUGUCAUUAAGGUUACCAUGUUUCGGAUGCUGGUCUUGAAUGUCCUACCAAUGGAUGAGCUCUAGAAUUUUUUGCUGAUACUCACCAACUUAUGUGAGUGGCAUUGUGUAGCUACAUUCUGAUCGUCAACUUGUGUGAGUAGACCUAUUUAUGGCUUGAGUGAGCAAUGAUGUAAAGGAAAAGGAAUGGUUUCAACCAUAUGUUUAGCACAUUUUGUGUGAGCUUCCCGCGUAUCCAAUAUUGUUCUAAGUGGUUCAACGGGUAUGAAAUGGGAAGGAACGGUAAGUGUUCCAUUGACUACAUUAUGAACUUAUGGAAAGGUAUGAAUUGAUAAUGAUCAGAGUAUACAUAGUUAUGUUUAUGGAAAGUAUGAAUUCAAAUGUACUAUGUUCAUGAAAUUUACCUUACCAUGUGAUGCUUUUGUUGAGUUAUGUGUUAAGGCACUAACUUAUGUUGUUGAUGAUGCUUGGGCUUGUGUCAAGCUUAUUUUGGAUUGAUUGAUGUUUAAAUUAUGAGGUUUUGCAUUGAAAUGGUAAGCUAUGUUCAUGAUUUACGAACUUACUAAGCAUUAUAUGCUUACGUAGUUUUCUUUUCUAUGUUUUAUAGAUUAUCGGAAGCUCGUUCAGUUUGGAAGUUCGUUAGAGACCUAUCAUACUAUCCGGCGAUUAUAUCGGUAGAUUUUGAUGUUUUGGUCAAGGUUACAAUGGCAUGUAUAAAUGGACUUCUGCUUAAUGAUCUAGUUGUUUUGGAAUGUAUAAGUGUUAUUAUGGUUCAUGUACUUAUGGUUUUUUGAUGCCUUGAUGGUUGGUGUUAUUAUGGCCAAGAUGUUGCAUGUUUUGAAUGAUCAAUUUGGUAUGUGAUGGUGUAUUUUCAAUGUGAUCAAUUAAGGUAUGUUUUUAGUUGAAAUAAGUAAAAUGUGUAAGGUUGAUGAAUGGUCAAGUAUGCAUAUUUUUUGUAGGUUUAAUGGAUUGUAAUUAAGGUGUCUUAUUGGCAUAUUGGUUGCAUGGAUUAUUGGUAUAGAGAUUUGGUCAUUUGAUGUAUGUUUUGGGCAUGUUUUAAGGUCUUGAUUAUUUAUGCAAUUGGCUUGUAGGUACAUGUCUAAAUGGGUGAAAGAAAUGGUUUGAUUUUAGCCAAUUCUUGUCCACACAGCCUAAAACACCGGCGUGUGUCUCAGUCUCUUGUGACACACGGCCAUGUGACACGGUCGUGUGUCCCUUGUAGGUAUUAAAGGUUUCAAGUCAGGCAGUUACACAGCCUAGCACACGUCCUGGUACACAGGCUUGUGAGGCCAUUUCGAGUGUUACAUGGCCUGGCACACGGGCGUGUGGCUUGGUCGUGUGACCUAACUUAGAGAAUUACAUAAGCACGAACACGGGCUGGGACACAGCCGUGUGUCCCUAUUUUGAUUGUUACAUAGCCUGAGACAUGGGCGUGUGUCUCAGCUAUGUGAGUCAUAUGGCAGUGUGACCCCUGCAGUUUUGAAUUUUCUAACAUUUUCCUGAUUUAGUCCUAAAUCAUUUCUAAAGUGUUUCUAAGGCCUCGAGGGUUCGAAUAAGGGAUGAUAUGACUGUCUAUGAAUGGAUUAUGCUAUGAUUAUUGUAAUGUUUGGAAAUGAAUGCUUUUAGGUUAUGUUUAUACAGUAAUGCUCUGUAACCCUAUUCUAGUGAUGGAUACGGGUUAGGAGUGUUACAUUUAGUGAUAUCAGAGCUAUGGUUUAGUUGGUUCUCAGACUGAACGUAGUGAGUACGAGUCUAAAAAUACAUGUCAUUAUAUAACCUGUGAUUGUGUGGUAACUCCUAACUCAAUUUGAACUAUACUUUUAUAUAGAUAAUGUCAUCCAACCAAGUCGAUUCCGAUGAGGCUGAAAGUAUCGCGCAAGCCUUUGUUCACGGAGCAGCGUUGAGUGGAACUAGACCCGUAUUUAAGGUAUGGGGAGGAGAGGCUAAGGAAACCUUCUUCCAGAUGAUGAAUGAGUGGUUCACCAAUUUUCUACGAACGAACCCAAUGGCUCAACGACCUCAACCCCUACAUAUUCCCCAACCAAUCCCUAUAGUUCCUCAAGGUUUUGAACCAAUACGGUUAAGCAAGCCUCCAGUUGAUAAAAUCCGUAAAUAUGAGGCUGAAGAGUUUAGAGCUACGUCUAAAAAUGAUCCAGAGAGAGUCGAGUUCUAGUUAGAAAAUACAAUCAGGGUUUUCAACAAAUUAUCUUGUACGCCGGUAAAAUGUGUGAAAUGUUUUGUUUCCUUACUGAAAGACUCAACCUAUCAGUGGUGGAAUACCUUGGUUUCUGUUGUGUCGAGAGAAUGAGUAGACUAGGAAUUCUUUCAAACUGAGUUCUAUAGCAAAUAUGUGAGUCAGAGGUUUCUUGACAAGAAACGCAAAGAGUUUCUCAAGCUUAAACAAGGCCAGAUGAUACUAUCUGAGUGAGAGACGGGAUUCGUUUGAUUGAGCAAGUAUGCCCGAGAAUGUAUACUGACUGAGAUUGCCAUGUGUAAACGAUUUGAAGAUUUGCUGAAUGAAGACAUGAAGCUGUUAGUCAAGAUUCUAGAAUUGAAAGAAUUUUUUAUUAUAGUUGACCGAGCACACAAAGCUGAAGAAUUGAGUAAAGCUAAAAGAAAAGUUGAUUAUGAGGCUUGUGAUUUGAGUAAGAGAUCGGCGGGAUAAUCAUCUCAUUUAUCGUCAAAGAAGUCAAAAGAAUAUCAUAAUCAUUCGUUAGCUUCAGUGGGUCAUUCUGGUAGAGAUCGAAAAAAAUAGCAUGCGAAUUUAAAACCUCAAGCUACUCUAUAUCAAGCCUAGCACACGGCCUAGCACACGGACGUGUGAGGCCAUUUUGAGUGUUACACGGCCUGGCACACGAGCCGCUGGCUUCGCCAUGUGACCAAACUCAGAGAAUUACACGGGCAUGGACAUGGGCUGGAACACGGCUGUGUUUCCCUAAUUUGAUUGUUAGAUGGCCUGAGACAUAGGCGUGUGUCUCAGCCGUAUUAGUCAUACAGCCGUGUGACCCUUGCAGUUUUGGAUUUUCUAACCUUUUCCACAAUGUUUCAAAUGUUCUUGAUUUAGUCCCGAAACAUUUCUAAAGUGUUUCUAAGGCCUCGAGGGUUCGAAUAAGGGGCGAUAUAAAUGUCUAUAAGUGGAUUAUGCUAUGAUUAUUGUAAUGUUUGGAAAUGAAUGUUUUUAGGUUAUGUUUAUAUAUUAAUGCUCCAUAACCCUAUUCUGGCGACAGAUACGUCUUAGGAGUGUUACAUAAACUCAAGUUACUUUGCUACCCUUGCUCACAACCUUUUCAAGAUAUUUAUUUGUACUUGUUUUUUCUCUUCUUUAUUAUUAUUAUUUUCUUUUUCUUUUCUUUUUUCUUUUAGCAUGUCACAAAAUUCUUUGACUUGAUAUUCACAAUGGAGCAUACACUAAAUUACCUAGCUCUCUAUCAUGUCAUAAUUUAAAUAUAAAUCACUUGUGAAGCUAAGGCUUUUGACUAAAAAGAUGGAUAAAGUAAACAACUACCUUCUUAGCUACUCAGUCUGUUGCUAUAGUGAAGUACCCAUUUUCUUUAUUACACACUAUUACUUGGACUGACCUUUCUAGUUAACAGCACAGUGGAGCAAAUAAAAUGGUGCUAACUUACUCAACAAUUUUAAGCAUUGGAGUGCCUACUGUCCUUUAUUUAAGUAAUGUCAUGGCAAAAUGACUGAGUUUGGCUUCAAAAACCCUAAAUUCAUCAAAAAGCCCUUGCUAUUAAUCAAAAAGGGAAAAAAACUAAGUAUAGGACAUCUCAUUUUUAAGAAUUAAUUUUCACGCAAUCUAACCUGAGCUAAACUCGCCUCAUCCACUAUCACAUGUUCUAGAUAUACUGAAGAAUAUAAGCUCAUCAUCGAAUAUCACAAGUAAAGAUUGAAUUUCUCGCAGAUAAAACAGUAUUUAAUAAUCACAAGGCAUUGGAAAACAACUUAACUAUACUAGGAUGAACAUACAUACUAGAUACGUAAUGCAACCUAAAUGCACAAUACAUCACCCCAAACUUAAGGGAUGCAUUAUCCUCAAUGCAUGAAUAGAUAUAUGCAAACUAUCUAUGUACAGACAAUGUCAUGACAAAAUAUAUGCUAUGCAAUAUGUCUGAAAUAAAACGAAAACUUUCCUUGCUUGGACUACAUUGUAGAUACUUCAUUAUGUCUGACGAGUUGAUUUAUGAGCAGCAACCUUGUACCUUUACUUCCUCUUCAUCCUCACAGUCAGUCUCAAUACUGACAAACUUUAUUUUCUCUGGUUCUUCCUCUGAUGCUUUAGGCGCAUUCUCUUAAUUGGUAGGAUUUGUCAAUGGGCUCUGCGUCACCGACCCCAUCCCCUCUUGCAGUUUAUUAAACAAAGGAAAUAAAUUAACUAAGAGAAAUUUAAAUCGAAAAAAUAAAAUAAAAAUAAAAAUAAUUUUCAAGAUGUUGAAGUUAAACAUCUCAAAGAUCAAUAGACUAUUUGUCUCACUCUACAUAAGCACCCCAAUAGUGUUGCAAGCGUUGUCCAUUAACUUUAAAUGUGUCCCCUAUUUUCAUGUACUUGACAUCAACAACUCCAUGUGGGAUAUAUAUGAGCUACCAAGCAUUAUUCAUCAAAAUUGAAAGGUUUAUUUUGCUCCAGCAAAGUGUAUAAGGGUCUCCGCUCAAAUGAAUCUUUAUCACUAUCAGAACUGAUGUGGCAAUAUAUCAUGAACUCUUCCUCCACUACUGUUUCUAUUAAGUCAAUGGCAUGGCAUUCUUUAUUAUCAUCAAAAUAUUUUUGUGCAUUAAAUACAUUGAAUGUGACCUAUUGAUCAUUCAUCCUCAUGGUCAAUUCACCUUUCUACACAUCAAUUGAAGUCCUGCCUGUAGCAAGAAAAGGCCUUCCAAGAAUAAUUGGCACAUCUUUGUUACCUUCACAAUCUAAAAUAAGGAAAUCAGCUGGAAAAAUAAACUUAUCUACUCUUACCAACACAUCUUCAAUUUUACCUUCUGGAUGUGCGUAGGAUCGAUCAACCAAUUGUACUGUAACUGUAGUAGGUCUAGUUUUUCCAAUUCCCAGCUUCCUGAAAAUAGACAGCAGUAUUAGAUUUAUACAUACUCCUGAAUCACAUAAUGCAUUACCAACAUAAUGAUUUCCAAUUAAACAUAGGAUAGAGAAACUCCCUAAGUCCUUCAACUUUGGAGGUAAUUCAUCAACAUUGUUGUGCACCCUUAAGUGAAAGCAAUAGUCUCAAGUUCUCCCAUUCUGUGCUUCUUCGACAGUAUAUCCUACAUAAAUUUCACAUAGUUUGGCAUUUGCUCCAAAGCUUCUACUAGCGAUAUAUUAAUAUGUAGUUGCUUCAAGACCUCCAAAAACCUUUUGAACUAAACAUCUUGUUUAGAAUUAUGUAAUUUCUGAGGAAAAGAUAGAGGUGGUCGUCCUUCAAGUUUCUGAUAUUGUUUUCCUAUAGCGUUUUUAUUGGCAGCCUGAUCUAGUUCUGCCACAGCAUUCUUCUGCUUACCCUUUUCAAGUGUAAUAUGUUUUUCAGAUGGCUUUGGGAUCUUUACAUGGUUGUUAUUUGAGUUAUCCUCUCCUACUGUGGCAUCUUGAACAACAUCAUUUAACUGAGCUCCACUUCUGAGAGUGAUCACUUUGCACUGUUCUUUCCCUUAUGUUAUCCAAUUCUAGGUAUCGUUGGCAAUGCUCCUUGUGGCCUCAAAUUUAAAGCAUUUGUUAUUUGCCCACUUGAUUCUCAAGAGCUCGUAGGGACAUAGCUUGACUAAGGUAUCUUUCUUGGCCAUAAAUUAUUUCAACAAGUCUUCAAUAGAUGGUGAUGAUAAUGACUGGCCUUGUUGUACAUUUUGCCUCGGCAUAGGAUGAUUAUAACUAGGCGAUGCACUAUCGGCAUUCUUCUUGUAGCAUUGUUAAAAUUCCCCUCACCUUGAUUAUUCCAACUAAAGUUUAGAUGUUGUCCCCACCCUAGAUUAUAGGUGUUGGAAUAGGGAUUAUUAUUCCAAUUGAAAUUACCUAUGUAGCACACGAAUGUUGGGUUUGAUAGGCAUUCAUCCAACACGUGGUCAUCACCACAAUAAACACAUGCUAGCCUAAUAGCUUUCACCUCCUGAACUGUAGUUGGUAUCUCCAUCAUCUUGAUCAUAUUAGUUAAAGAUGAAACAUGGGUAGUCAAUGAAGUGAUUGUAUUAAGUUCCAUGGUACCAGCAGCUUUCUUACCCGUUAAAACUCUCGUGGUAGUAUAUUGAUAAUUAUUGCUGGCAAUCUUUUCCAAAAUCUCAUAUGCUUCAUUAUAAGAUUUAUCCAACAAAAUACCAUUGGUGAAGGCAUCAACUACCAUCCUCGUAUGCGCAUUCAUUCCAUUAUAAAAUAACUUCAUCUGUGUCUAGUGCUGAAAUCCAUGCAUCGGGCACUUCUGAAUGAAGUCUUUAAAUCGCUCCCAAGCUUCAUAUAGCGUUUCAUCAUCCAAUUGCUGAAAAGAUGUGAUGUCAUUUCUAAGCUUGGCAUUCAUAUUUGGAGGAUUAUAUCGUAGAAAAAAACUCUAGCAAAGAUCAUUUCAUGAUGCUACUAUUCAGUACGGCAGAGCAUUCAGCCAUGCUCUCACACGAUCUCUUAAAGAAUAUGGAAACAGUUUAAGUCGCAAAGUGUCUUUAGGCACACCCUACUGUCUCUAUGAGUCAUAAACCUCUAAAAAAAGUCUUAAAUGAAGUAUUGGAUCUUUAUUAGGUAAUCCACUUAACUGUCCUACUAUUUACAACAUCUAAAAUAUUACCAGUUUCAGCUCAAACUACUGAACUUGUAUUUGUGGUCUGACUAUCUCUGGAUUCAAAUCAUCCAAAAUUAGCACAACAUGCUCUCAGAUUGGUCUAUCUCGGUCAUCUAUCAUUCUACGAACAUGAAGAUUAGCAUCCUGACCAUUCAAAUUAUCAUUGAGACUAGGAUCAUUUUCGUUUCUAGCAUCAUAGUUCUUUUCACCUUCUUCAUAAAGUUAUUUCGAUCUUUAGGUUAAAAGGAUACUCUUUGUUAGUAGGAAUAUCUUUUCUCAUGUACUGAUGGAAAACUUAUAGAAAAAUAUAACUAAGUUAAAUAAAACUAAUGGAGCUAAGUGAAAUAACAAAACCAAUUUUUAAGAAAUUGUCAAUCCCUGGCAACGGUGCCAAAAAAUUGUCGCGCGUGAAUAUGAUAUGUGAAUCGUGCAAGUAUACACGUUGGAUCAAGUAAUAAAGUGAUAAGUGAGUAUCACUCCCAUGAGGUUCCAAUUGAGGCACAAAAGUGGUCAAGUUAUUAUAAUAGAGUGUUAUUAAUGUUAUGGCAAAAACAACGAUAAGUAUAAAGGAGUAGUGAUGUAUGUAAUAUGUGGAAUUUAAUGAAUACUUGGAAAUGUUAUGGCAAAACAAAAGUAGAAAUGUAAUGGAAAUUAUGAGAGUUACUACGGGAAUAUUAUGUAAAUGAACAAAUAAAUAACUAAUAAUGAUGUGACAAAGAUACUAUGGCAAAGAACAAAGGAUAUACGAUGUUGAUUUGGAAUGUUGGAAUUAUUAAGAAUCUACCCUUACUGUCAGAGAUGCCUCGAAAAAAUCAUAAUUAAUUUACUACUUAGAAGAGUUCUAAAGUGGUCUGCUUCUUUCGAGAGCAAAAGUCUCAAGUUACCUUACCCAUGACAAUAGGCCUUUAAUACGGUACCCUGCACUAUUUCUUUUUGUAUGAAUGCUGCUCUAUGUCUAAAGUCUACUACAAGCAUCUAUUGAAUACUUGCUCAUAUCAUUCAAUUUCGGUCCAACUAAUCCAACCUUUUCAAAAUUAAAUUAGUUUAUGUGCAUGCUACACAAUCUCUAUGUCUAGGAAUUGCACGCUUAUAAUUUAGAAAAAAAUAAUUAAAUGAAACAGUAAAUUAAUUCAACUCUAUGCUUCAACCAUUAAAGAAAAUAAAGGUUUCAUCAUGUAAUCUCAACCCUAUGAGAUUUAGCUCAUGGGUUGGCACAUAAAAUUUAAAACCAAAAUAACAUCCAACACCAUUUUCAUCAUUCCAUUCAAGGAAGAACAAAGUAAGAAAUGUAGAAGACUUUGAGAAUACAACUUUUUCAUGUCAUGUUCACACUCCAACAACAUAGUGUUCCAGCGAUGGCUAAGAGGGACUACUUUUGUCUUCCUCUUUUUGUCUCUACUCAGCCGCUACCCUCUAUUUUUGCCUAAGGAGCUGUUGCUUUUUGUUCAUCAUUUAGGGUUUCCUCCUUUGGCUUUUUAUAGCUUUUUCCCUUGGGUAAAUCCAACAAAUCAUGUUUAUCUUCUCCUCUUUUUAAAAUUUUUUUUCUAGAAUAAAAAUCAAAAUCCCAGGAUUAUCUUCUCCUCUUUUAGGUACAUUUUUUUGGUAAAAAUGCAGUUGGGCUAAAAUUGGUAUGCAUUGAGUGUUGACUCGAUCAUCCUAGAAUUGCCACAGCAUUCGUGCUAACCAAAUGUCCAACCUUUUGCCCUGGUAAACCUUUACUCCUUUAUUUCUCAUUCCUCAACCUGCACCUGCCAAAGCACCAAACACAACCCUACCAUAAGCAAUUAAAAGUAUCUAUUAUUGAUUUUUUUUGGUAAGUGGUAAUAGGACUUGUAACUAAUAUAGUUUUGGAAAAAAAUAUGAUUUUUUUUAGAAUCUUUAAGGCAUAUUUUCGAUUGGUAAAUGAGGAGUUUUGAAUCAUAAAAUUAUGAUUUUAUGUUCUACCCCAUGAGACCUUUACAACGAGAUAUCAUAUGCUCAAAAUGGUUGAGUGAUGAAUGAGAAAUUGAUGCUCAAAGUAAGCUACUUGGAAAUUAUGUUGAGAAAAAUGAAAAAGCAUUAAUCCCACAUUUAUUAGGAAUCAAGUGUGGAACUUGAUAUAUAUGUAAACCAACUUGGUGGUUAUUAAAUGAGUAAACUAAUGCUCUCCCUCGUGUGCAGGGGGUGCAAAUCUAAAUCCACUGAGGUUGGGGGCACACCCGCACGACAUGGGCGUUUCCAAGAUUUUACUCAGUUUGAUUUAAAGGCUUCUUUAAUGCAUAUUUGUAUCUUUACUCAUGGAAAUUUCUAAAAUUCCUCCACAUUGAAUGCUUAUAAAAUCCUAAAUUCUUUAAAGACACACAACGAAUUUAUUUCACUCUCGAAAAUUCUAUUUCUUUUCUCUCCAAAAUUUUCAAACGUCCGGUGAUAGAAGAAGGCAAGGUUUGUUCGUUGAUCACUGCAGAUGUACUACUGCCGCAAUCAUUUUGUUAUUGUAUCCUGGGAGACAGAUGAUCAACAUUUCUCUAAGUACCAUAGGAGCAGCUGAAUCUGUCUUAAGGAAACUGUGAAAACAGACCUCAGCAUCUAGUAAAACUCGAUUUCCUUAUUCAAUUUCUGGUUUUUCAAAAUCUUGUUUAUAUAAUUAUUUUUUAGAUUUGAUGUUUUAAAUAAAUAUAAAUAUUUAUUUAUUUAUUUUGUUUAGAUCUGGUGUUUUUACACAAAUAUAGAUAUUUGGUUAUAUUAUUUGUUCAAGAUAUUAUAUUUAAUAUAAAUAUUUACAUUUAUAUUUGUUCGCUAACGUGUUUUGUCCAACAAUCUUAAGACAGAUUUUUAUUAUUUUAAAAUUCUCUAAUCCGAGUAGAACGAGACACGAAGGCAAAAAAAACAUAUUCUGUCUAAGAAAAAAUUAAAUUGAAUAAAAUCUAUUUCGGGAUUUAUUAUUGUCGUUCAAUAGACUUUAUUCCUUUUUUAUUUUGUUUCCAAACAAGAAUUAAUUGAAUAAUUCUAUUUCAGAAUUUAUUCUCACAGCUCAACAGAUUUUAUUCUAUUUUUAUUUUGUUUCCAAACAAUAAUUAAAUAAAUAAUUCUAUUUCUAGAUUUAUUCCCGCCAUUUAACAGAUUUUAUUUGAUUUUGAUUUUGUUUCCAAACAAGAUUUAAUUAAAUAAUUUUGUUUCAGGAUUUAAUCCUGUCGGCCAACAAAAUUGAUUUUAAUUUUAUUUCAGAAUUUUAACUCUUCCAUUUAACAAAAUCAAAGGGUAAUAUAAAUUUUAAAUUAAAUUUUUUAUUUAUUGUGGCUUUAAUUGUGGCUUUAAAUUGUGAAAGCUUAAAUUGUAGCUUCAAACUUGUGACAUCAAAGAAAAAAAAAAUUUAUCAACGGUGAAUUAAAAAAGACAAUAUGAGAGUGCAUGUCUAGGAUUGGUUCUUUGAAAGACUUGGUAUUUAAGUGUGCCAAGUGCACCACCUCUCUUUCAGGGUUACCUACCUGGCACAUUUUUUUUGUCUUUCGAUUAGACCGUGUAAACUUUUGUUUCAAGUUUUAUUAAAUUCCUAUCGUCUAGCAAAAGUUGAUAAUUUUUUUCUAAUUUUGGUUUUGUUUCUGAAAUCUUAACAGAAAAUGGAAACUCCCACCAAUGCUAUGGAAGAUAUGGACUUAUGUGCUGUGAUUUUUGAAGUCAACAUGGUUGACUCACAUCCAAGAGAAUAGUGGCUUGAUACUGGUGCCACACGUCAUAUUUGUUUGACAAAGACUUCUUUUCUGAGUUGGAGCCUUGUGAAGAUAGGGAGAAGCUCUAUAUGGGCAAUGCUAUGACUUCCAAGAUCAAGGAGAAUGGUACUAUAGUCUUGAAGAUGACUUCUGGCAGAGAACUCAAGCUUCAAAAUGUGUUGUAUGUGUUUGACAUACGCAAGAACCUUAUUUCUGAGACACUCCUUAGUGUACACGGUUUUAAGACGGUGUUUGAAUCCCAGAAGCUAGUUUUGUCUAAAGGGUGAAUGUUUGUGGGAAGGGGAUAUGUAUUAAAUGGCAUAUGGAAACUUAAAGCAAUCUCUGUAAAAUUAAAAACUAUGAAUAAGAGUGUUGUUUCUUCUUCUGUUUAUAUGCUUGAGUCAUUUAAUUUAUGGCAUGGUAGGCUCAGACAUGUUGGUUAUGAUACUUUACAUAGAUUAAUUAAUUUAGAGCUCAUUCCUUCAUUUCACAUUAGUUAUAAACAUAAAUGUGAAACUUUUGUUGACGAAAAAUUAACAAUGCCUUCAUUUGAAACUAUUGAAAGAAAUAUAGAACCACUCGAUCUAAUACAUAGCAAUGUUUGUGACUUAAUGUUUGUUCAAACCAGAGGAAGGAAUAAAUAUUUUAUUACCUUCAUUAAUGAUAGCACAAAAUAUUGUUAUGUAUAUUUGCUUCAGAGCAAAAACGAAGUUUAGAGAAAUUUAUUCUCUAUAAACAGGAAGUUGAAACCUAACUUAAUAAAAAGACUAUGAUGGUAAGAAGUGAUUAUGGUGGUGAAUAUGUUGAACCAUUUAGUGAAUACUGUGCACAACAUGGUAUUAUUCAUGAAGUGACACCACCAUACACUUCUCAAUCAAAUGGAAUAGCCGAGCGAAAAAAUCAGACUCUAAAGGAAAUGAUGAACGCAUUACUAGAAAGCUCUGGGUUAUCACAGAACAUGUGGGGGGAAGCUAUUCUAUGAGCUAAUUACCUUUUAAAUAAGGUUCCCUACAAGAAAAGGGACAAGACACCAUAUGAGUUAUGGAAAGGUAGAAAACCUUCCUACAACUACUUGAAACUGUGGGGGUGUCUUGCAAAGGUAAUGGCUCCAUUACCAAAGUAAAUGAAAAUAGGUCUUAAAACGGUGGAUGUAUUUUCAUAGGCUAUGCAGAUCAUAGAAAUACAUAUAGGUUUCUUGUGUAUGAAUCAAAGAAUCCUGACAUUCACAAGAAUAUUAUAUUGGAAUCAAUGAAUUCUUCAUUCUUUGAAAAUAUCUUCCCUUGUAAAGCUAGGGAAGUUGAUUCAAGUUCAACAAAAUGAACUUCAGAGACUAUAGAUGAAAAUAGUCAAGACGAGGUUAAAACUGUGAUAGAGCCAAGAGUAAACAAGUAACAGUGAAAAAAUCUUUUGGGUCAGAUUUUCUAACCUUUAUGCUAGAUGCUAAACCUCAAACAUGUGAUGAUGCUAUACGGUCAUCCGAAAGCACUUCAUGGAAAGAUGCUAUUAAAAGUGAAAUUGACUCCAUCAUGUAAAAUCAUACAUGAGAAUUAGUGGAUCUUGCUCUAGGAAUUAAACCAUUAAAUUCUAAGUGGAUUUUUAAAUGAAAAAUGAAAGCAGAUGAAACAAUAAACAAGUACAAGGUCAGAUUGGUUAUAAAAGUUUAUAGAUAAAAAGGAAGGCCUACUUUGAUACUUUUUCUCCAAUAUCCAGGAUAACUUCUAUAAGGAUGAUACUUGCAAUUGUCGCCUUAUAGAAUCUAGAAGUACAUCAAAUGGAUGUUAAAACAACUUUCCUAAAUUGAGAUCUUGAUGAAGAAAUUUACAUAGAACAACCUGAGGGUCAUGUAAUUCUAAGACAAGAAAGGAAAGUUUGUAAAUUGGUGAAGUCUUUAUAUGGACUUAAGCAAGCACUAAAACAAUGGCAUUAAAACUGUUCGACAAUGCCAUGAUGACAAAUGGCUUUAAGAUUAAUGAAUGUGAAAAUUGUGUGUAUGUCAAAACUACCGAUAUUGGAUAUAUAAUCCUAUGCUUAUAUAUUGAUGACAUAGUCAUUGUUGGAAGUAACAAUGAAAUGGUAAAACGUGCCACAGACAUGUUAAAUUCAACGUUUGACAUGAAAGAUAUGGGACUAGAAAAUGUGGUUUUGGCAUCCAAAUUAAGAGGUCAUAUGAAGGUCUGAUAUUGACUUAGCCACACUAUGUGGACAAGAUUCUUGGGAAAUUUAGCAAGGAUGAUUUCGGUAUAGCCAAAACUCCAAUAGCUACAAGCCAACAUUUGUCCAAAAAUAAAGGUGAAAGUGUUGACCAAGUGGAAUAUGCAGGGGUCAUAGGUAGUCUAAUGUACCUUAUGAGUUGUACUAGACUAGAUAUUGCUAUCACUGUGAGCAGUUUAAGCAUAUUCACAAGCAAUCCAGGGGAAAACCAAUGGAAAGUAAUUGUGAGGAUACUGAGAUAUCUUAGAUAUACUCAGGACUAUGGAUUGCAUUAUUCCAAAGAUCCUAUUGUUUUAGAAGGAUUCUCCUGUGCCAGUUGGAUAUCUGAUAUUCAAGAUACCAAAGGCACAAGUGGAUAUGUUUUUACAUUAGGAGGAGGAGCUAUGUCAUGGAAAUCCCCAAGACAAACGAUUAUAACCAGAUCCAUAAUAGAAUCUGAGUUUGUAGCUCUAGACAAAUCUGGAGAAGAGGCUAAAUGGCUUCGAAACUUCUUGGAAGAUAUUCCUGACUGGCCAAAGCCUGUGCCCACAAUAUGUAUAUAUUGUGACAAUCAAGCAACAAUUGGUAGAGCACAAAAUGUAAUAUAUAAUGGUAAGUCAAGACAUAUGCUUCGUUGACACAAUACUUGUAGACAACUGAUCUCAAAUGGGGUUAUCUCUAUUGAUUUUGUAAAAUCAAAAGAUAACAUUGUGGAUCCGCUAACUAAAUGCUUAAAUCGAGAUCAGGUUAAUAAAACAUCGAAAGGAAUAGGACUAAAGGCCAUGGAAAUUAAAGGCGCUAUGUAAAGGAAAACCCAACCUAGUUGAUUGGAGAUCCCAAGAUCUAGGUUCAAAGGGACAACCUAAUUGCAUAGGCCUUGUGAGGUCACUAUAGGGGUUCUUAUUCCAAGUCCAUUCCUAUGAAAUAAACAGUGAUUUAAAGUGAGAUAGGUUAAGUAAAGCUUUUAAUGACCAUUGUGUGUUUCGGAGAGCCAAGCAACAUAAGUCACCUAUGUUAGAGUGAAGUGGGGCUGCUUCGAGGAGACUAUUGUGCAUAGGUCUCUCAAAAUCUUGCAGAACCAGGAAAUGUUCAUGGUCAUAUAAACAUACCUAUGAGAACGAAGACCUUGCUAGGGAGGUAGUUGUGUAAGGAAUAUCAUUGUUUACACAAACGAUAGAACAGUUCAAGGAUAUUACGUCAACUAGUCAGCUAGUAAAAUAAAUAUACUUUCACAAGGGAAGGUUCAAGGGUUGAUGUUUGCCUAUCAUAUACAACUAUCAAUCGUAGAAUCUAUCACCACAUCCAGCCAAUGUUUUUCAUUAAACCUAUCAAUUUCAUUCAUGUGGGGUAUUGUUGGAAAAAUAUGAUUUUUUGGAAUCUUUGAGGCAUAUUUUCGAUUGGUAAAUGAGGAGUUUUGAAUCAUAAAAUUAUGAUUUUAUGCUCUACCUCAUGAGACCUUUACAACGGGAUAUCAUAUGCUCAAAAUGGUUGAGUGAUGAAUGAGAAAUUGAUGCUCAAAGUAAGCUACUUGGAAAUUAUGUUGAGAAAAAAUGAAAAAGCAUUAGUCCCACAUUGAUUAGGAAUCAAGUGUCACUACACCAAAAUAGGCUUUUAGCAGCGUUUUUAGUGGCAUUUGGAUAAAAAACGCUGCUAAAAAUCAAGCAAUAGCAGCGUUUUUUUUAAAACGCUGCUAAAGAUCCAAUAUUAGCGGCGUUUUUCGGAAAACGCCGUAAAAAAUGAGCAUUAGCAGCGUUUUUCAAAAAAGCGCCGCAAAAAAUCUAAGCACAACGAUGUCGUUUUUUGAGUUUUUGGGCCUUUAGCGGCGUUUUUUAAAAAACGCCGCUAAUGUUCGAGGCUUUAGCGGCGUUUUUGAAGAAGCGUCGCUAAUCCUCGGGGCUUUAGCGACGUUUUUGAAGAAGCGCCGCUAAUGCUCUGGUCUUUAGCGGCAUUUUUUAAGAAGCGCCGCUAAUGCUCUAGGCUUGCUCUGGGCUUUAGCGGCGUUUUUGGAAAAACGCCGCUAAUAAUCGAGGCUUUAGCGGCUUUUUUGAAGAAGCGCCGCUAAUGCUCUAUUUUUAGCGGCUUUUUUUAAGAAGCGCCGCUAAUGCUUUGGUCUUUAGCGGCGUUUUUGAAAAAAGCACCGCAAAAAAUAUUUUAUCUCUCUAUUUAUUAUUUAAUUGGUUUGUUUAUAUUAAUUAAAAUUCAAAUUAAUUUUAAUUGAAUAUUCAAAAUCUUCACAAAAAACUAAUGACACGUAGAAAUCAUUUGAAAUAAAAACAUAGAAAAAUAUUUGUUAAAAAUGGAAAAAUUAAAAUACUAUUAUUUAAAAUAAUUUUAAGUUUUUUAGAAACUGUGCAAAGUGUAUGCAAGCAGAUAAUGUUUAUAAUGCUAUUUUGGUCGUUCAAAGAGCUUUUACAGCACCUGCAAAAGCAGCGAUAAAUGAAAUUAAUUCAUACUUCCACAUGGAAGUUUUUGAGGUGAAUAUAAGUUUAAAUUGGUAUAAAUAAAUAUAAUUUUCCUUUUAGCUCUCUGGGUUUUUGUUCUUUUGAUUGUUUUAUAACAGUUUUUUCUUAAAGGAUAAGUGAUAGACGAAAUCCGGGAGUUGAAUCCUAGAGUUGAAAUCCAAGAGUUGAAUCCCUUAUAAAGGUACAUUUUUUUUCCUCAUUGAUAUAUGUUUAUUAGCAUUUGAGUCAUUUAGGUUACUUUUUAUUGUAUUCAUGCAUGCUUGCUUACUUCACAUUUUCCUUCUUCCAGUUUAAAUUUAAUUCUUUCAGUGCUGGAGAUGAUGAUUAUGAAGGGUACAAUUACCGCUUGUGUGGGCGACUUUCUGCUGUUCGAAUUGUUUUUCUUUGUAGGUUUGUUCAGGAGGUAUGAUGGGAUACAGUUUAAACUGUACAGUUUUAGCAUUACCAUCAUCCUAUUAUGGUUAAACCUUAACAUUUAACAAUUGAAGUUCACUUUCACAAAUAGUCAAAAUUUAGGUCUAUAAAUUUCAAGAAACUUGGUUUGGCAGAUAACAGUUUACUUCAUGGAGCUUGCUACCCCACAUACAGAAGAAAUAAUAAAACUUGUUGAUAAAGUUGGCGAUUUUGAGUGGUUAAUUCAGAAAUCUGAAAUUGAUGGGGCUGCUGCUUUGAAGCUGGAUCUUACAUUUGACACUCCAAUAAUUAUAGUUCCUAGGAAUUCAACGAGCACUGAGUAUGUUUAACUUUCCAUUAUCUUAGACUUGCAAAGUAGAACAGAACACUAACUGUUUUAGUCCAUUUUAAUAGAAACUGAACUCUCCAGGAUUUUUGUAUUAUUAUUUAGUGUGAACAUUACUAAUGUAUUUCCAUAUGACAAGUUUUGUUCAACUUGAUGUGGGUCUUCUAAAGGUCAGAAAUAAAAUAAGUUGAGCAUAUUAGGUUUGUCACUUAAAGGGCUCUGCAGAUUGUUUUAGAUUGGCUUGAUUUUUUAUUCACUCAAUAUUUCUCUUUAUCUCUCCAUGUGAUCCUAUUCUAGUAUCAUUUAGUACUUGAGUGAUCUAGAAGAUGUUGAUACAUGUCUUAAGGUAUAAUUUUCUGUCAGUUUACAUUAGAACAAGGUAGGUGCAUUAGACCAAGGUGUAAAUGAAUAUGAUCAAGUGUAUGUGUAUUCAAUAACAAGGACUAUUAGGAAAUCAUGUGUAUUGGCCAAUGAAAGAUUAAAAAAUUUUUGCAUGAUUUUUAGAUAAAAGGGACUAGUUGUUAGUGUUUGCUAUCAUAUCUUAAGCUAAUUUAUAUGUACACGGUCACACAUAAAAACACAAAUUUAUAUAUAUUGCCUCGUCUGUGGCAAGUGCUUUUUCCACACCUUGCCUUUUGAGUAAUAUAAAGGGUUCUAGUGCCUAGAAUACCUUGUGCUCUUGGCAACAUUUGGCUGGCCCUACAUUUCUUAAAUUUUUUUUCUAAUUCAAAUUCAUAUUUACUAUUUUUUGAAGAAAAAUUAAUAAUAAUUUUGUUUUGUCAUUUCUUCUAAUAUUAAUAACUAGCUACUUAUACUAUAUUAGAGAAUCAAAUAUUCACCGAGUCAAUGGAGUAUAUAAUUUAAAUAAAUUAUCCUUGAGAUAGUACCGAACCAGUUUUCCUCUUUGAAAUUGCUUUAACCAGUGAAAUGCUUCGGUAGUUUGCUACCUUUGUGGUGGAAAUUCUUGAUGUCUAUUUUGGACUUUGGAGCUAUAAUUUCAUUUUUCUUAUAUGCAAUUUUAUUUUUAUUAUUUUUCUUUUAUACAGGAUUAGAACCGGUAUACUACAGGAAGAGGAGUGCACAAAAAUCUGAAACGUACAGAGAAAGCUCGCAUUCUAGUUAGCAAAUUGCCAUGUAAGCUUCUAGUAGUAAUCUUACAUCUUGAAGUAGGUUUCUGUGACAUAUUAACUUAAUCUUCUUUGUUAAAUAGAAAACAUGCUUUAUUGCAAUGCAAUAUUUAGUUGAUUUGCUUAUAUGCUGGUUGUUUCUGAACUUGGUUUGGUUUUGUGUAACCGUGGUUUUUGAACUUGCAUUCUAUACUGUCCAAAUAUCUCGGUUCAGGUCAGUUUUCAAUUUUAUUAUUUACUCCCGAGCUUAAGCUCCAGUUUGAAUGAGAUUUUCCAGUAUAGUUAAAAGGUAAAAAGACCUCAAUCAAACUCGUGUGAUACUCUAGUCAAGCAUUAAAGUACUCGAAUUUGAUCUGCUCAAUAGCUCAAACUCGACUCAACACCAUUCAAGUUGUUGUUGUUAAUGGUUUUUAUUUUAAACUUAAGUUGUGUCUGCCAAUAUGCUCUUAAAUCAUGGUCCUUCUAUUUCUUUAGGUUGCUGAGAAGACUGCUCUUCUGCGGCCUAUAGAACUUAAACUUGUUCCUGUGGCCUUGGAAGGUAGUGCAUUUAAAAGCAAGUUUCUUGAUACGGAUGAACUUAUGAGCUACUGUAGCUGGUUUGCGGUAAGAAAUGACUCCUAUUUCUAUUUUAUGGUACCUGGAAUGGUUUAAUACUUCACCGUCUAUAAUAUUUCUAUUGCCCAUGGAUCUUAUGUUGUGGGUGUUAGUACCUUACCAAUCUCAUUAAUGUCUUGUUUUAUUCUUCCUAAAAUUCAAGGAAUCAGUUGUUUAAGUGUUUUCAUUCAGUUUACAUGUUUACCUCUGUUUCUCUGAGUUUCAUAUUUAACUAAUCCAUCUUAAUUGGUGGUAAAUUCAUGUUUUAGGCACUAAUCAAUUUUAACCAAAUUAUCUAACUGUAAUUUGUACUGCUUUCAGACUUUCAGUAGCAUGAUCCCAAAAUGGCUGCGGAAAACCAAAAUUGUCAAGAAAAUUAGCCAAAUACUGGUGAAUCACCUUGGACUAAAUUUGACCAAAGAUGAUCUACAAAAUGUGGUUGAUUUAAUGGAGCCAUAUGGUCAGAUAAGCAAUGGAAUAGAAUAUCUAAAUCCUCCCCUUGAUGUCAGUAACUAACUUGCUUGUCAUUUUAAAUAUGCAAGUCAAUUGCUAUUAAUAAUUUUCUGUUGGAUUCUUGGACUGAAAAAUAAUUGAAUUGCAAGGUCAUACAUGCUGUUAAUUUUUUAAGAGCUAAUAAAUGAGUAUGACAUAGUGCUCAUAAAUGUUCUAAGGAUGUCUUGAGAUGAAUGGAAUUGUCUGAUAGUUUGAGGUUAUAAAUCUUUGUAUUGAUUUUUCUCAACAAUCUGAAGCCUGUCAUACUUAGCAAAUAUUUCUGUGAGAAUGGGUGUUUAAGAACUGUGAAUUGUCUUGAAAUAUAUGCGGUUGAGAUGGUUGAUAUAUUAUCAAGCAUGCAAUAUAUAUCACUGUCGUGACAAGUUUUUAUAGGAUUUAUUUGAAAUGGGUACGAAUUUAUCUCCCUGUUACAUGGAAAUAUAUAUUUAGCUUUAAAGUUAAAAUUUUAAUAGAAAUUUUAAUUUAAUUAAAUAUUUUUUAUCCUUAAAAGUAUAUAGUUUAAAGUUUAAAUUUUAAAAACAAAACAUAAUAUAAUAUUUAUUAUACAAAUAAAUAUUAUUUAAAUAAAAUAUAUUUUUUUAAAUUUAUGUUUUUAGCGGCGUUUGUUAAAAAGCGCCGCUAAAAGUCAUCUUAUUGUGGUUUGUUGUAGAAACGCCUUUAGUGGCGUUUUUAGGAAAAGCGUCGCUAAAGGUCAUGGCCUAUAGCGGCGUUUGUGGGAAAAGCGCCGCUAAAGGUCAUGGUCUAUAGCGGCGUUUGUGGGAAAAGCGCCGCUAAAGGUCAUGGUCUAUAGCGGCGUUUGUGGGAAAAGCGCCGCUAAAGGUCUUGGUCUUUAGCGGCGUUUUUGGGAAAGCGCCGUUAAAGGCCAUGGUCUUUAGCGGAGUUUGUGGAAAAAGCGCCGCUAAAGGUCAUGGUCUUUAGUGGCGUUUAUUUCUAAAAACGCCGCUAAAGUUAGCGGCGCUGUCAUUAGCGGCAUUUUUUUCGGUGCUUCUCAAAGCACCGCAAAUACUCUUAGCGGCGCUAAAAAGCGCCGCUAAAAGUCUAUUUUGGUGUAGUGUGUGGAACUUUUAUAUAUAUGUAAACCAACUUAGUGGUUAUUGAAUGAGUAAACUAAUGCUCUCCCUCGCAUGCAGAGGGUGCAAAUUCAAACCCAUCGGGGUUGGGGAACACCCGCACGACGUGGGUAACGCGAAAUGUCCGGAUCGAUCGGGCCCUUUUAGGCCUGCGAAUAUUUUAGCCCAAUACGUAUUUAUUUUUUUUCUGAGCAUAUAUUAUACAGAAUAUGUUUUAAAAGAACAAAUAUCUCAUUUUGAUUUGAUUCCAAUCAAAUUUGAUUUUAUUUUAUUCAAAUUGAUUUAAAGGCUCCCUUAAUGCAGAUUUGUAUCUUUAUUCAUGAAAAUUUCUAAAAUUCCUCCACAUUGAAUGUCUAUAAAAGCCUAAAGAAUAUUGCAGAAUUCUUUAGAGACGCACAACGAAUUUAUUUCACUCUCGAAAAUUCUAUUCAUUUUCUCUCCAAAUUUUUCAAAUGUUUGGUGAUAGAAGGAAAGGUUUAUUUAUUGAUCACUGCAGAAGAACUACUCCCAUGAUCAUUUUGUUGUUGUUUCUUGGGAGACAGACGAUCAACGUUUCUCCAAGUACCAUAGGAGCUGUCGAAUCUAUCUUACGGAAACAGUGAAAACAGGCCUCAACAUCUAGUAAAACUCGAUUCCCUUAUUCGAUUUCUAAUUUUUCAAGAUCUUGUUUAUUUAAUUAUUUUUCAGAUAUGAUGUUUUAAAUAAAUAUUUUGGUUUUGUUUAGAUCCGGUGUUUUUACAUAAAUAUAAAUAUUUGUUUAUAUUAUUUGUUCAAGAUCUUGUAUUUAAUAUAAAUAUUUAUAUUUAUAUUUGUUCACUAAGGUGUUUUGUCCAAACUAUAGCUUCUCAAUAAUUGUCAAAUAUUAUAGUGAUAUGCUUUUUCUUUCAAUUAUUCAUAUCUUCAAGAUUAAAAGGUUUACUUUAGUAUUAUUCUAUUUAUUGAGUGUGUAUUAAUGUUUUGUACAGGAAUCCGUUGGAUUUUGGUCUUGUAUAAAUUAGUUGUGGUUGUGGGUAAAUAAAUGUGUGUCGUUCUUCAUUCUCCAAACAUGCUGAAUAUAAUUAUUGGCAUUUCAAGUGUGGCAUAAUAUAAAACAAUGGUUGGCUUCAUCAUAAUCUGUUUGGAGACUAACGGGCCACACUUUGACCUCCAAAUUUAGAAAAUAUUUCCAGAGUUGGAAAUUGUAAUUGUAAUACCGUAAUAUUUGUACACCGCACUACACCAAAACAGGUUUUUAGCGGCGCUUUUUUAGGCCUUUAGGGGCGCUUUUUAGUGCCGCUAAAAGUAUUUGCGGCGCUUUGAGAAGCGCCAGAAAAAACGUCGCUAGUGACAGAGUCGCUAACUUUAGCGGCGUUUUUAGAAAUAAACGCCGCUAAAGACCAUGAUCUUUAGCGGCGCUUUUUCCACAAACGCCGCUAAAGACCAUGACCUUUAGCGGCGCUUUCCCAAAAAUGCCGCUAAAAACCAGAACCUUUAGCGGCACUUUUUCCACAAACGCCGCUAAAGACCAAAACCUUAGCGGCGCUUUUCUCACAAACGCCGCUAUAGAUCAUGACCUUUAGCGGCGCUUUUCCCAUAAACGCCGCUAUAAGCCAUGACCUUUAGCGACUCUUUUCCCAAAAACUCCACUAAAGGCGUUUCUACAAUAAACCACAAUAAAGAUGACUUUUAGCGGCGCUUUUUAACAAACGCCACUAAAAACAUAAAUUUUAUAAAAUAUAUUUUAAUUAAAUAAUAUUUAUUUGUAUAAUAAAUAUUAUAUUAUGUUUUGUUUUUAAAAUUUAAACUUUAAACUAUAUACUUUUAAGGAUAAAAAAUAUUUAAUUAAAUUAAAAUUUCUAUUAAAAUUUUAACUUUAACGCUAAAUAUAUAUUUCCAUGUAACAGGGAUAUAAAUUCGUACCCAUUUCAAAUAAAUCCUAUAAAAACUUGUCACGACAGUGAUAUAUAUUGCAUGCUUGAUAAAAUAUCAACCAUCUCAACCGCAUAUAUUUCAAGACAAUUCACAGUUCUUAAACACCCAUUCUCACAGAAAUAUUUGCUAAGUAUGACAGGCUUCAGAUUGUUGAGAAAAAUCAAUACAAAGAUUUAUAACCUCAAACUAUCAGACAAUUCCAUUCAUCUAAAGACAUCUUUAGAACAUUUAUGAGCACUAUGUCAUACUCAUUUAUUAGCUCUUAAAAAAUUAACAGCGUGUAUGACCUUGCAAUUCAAUUAUUUUUCAGUCCAAGAAUCCAACAGAAAAUUAUUAAUAGCAAUUGACUUGCAUAUUUAAAAUGACAAGCAAGUUAGUUACUGACAUCAAGAGGAGGAUUUAGAUAUUCUAUUCCAUUGCUCUUAUCUGACCAUAUGGCUCCAAUAAAUCGACCACAUUUUGUAGAUCAUCUUUGGUCAAAUUUAGUCCAAGGUGAUUCACCAGUAUUUGGCUAAUUUUCUUGACAAUUUUGGUUUUCCGCAGCCAUUUUGGGAUCAUGCUGCUGAAAGUCUGCAAGCAGUACAAAUUACAGUUAGAUAAUUUGGUUAAAAUUGAUUAGUGCCUAAAACAUGAAUUUACCACCAAUUAAGAUGGAUUAGUUAAAUAUGAAACUCAGAGAAACAGAGGUAAACAUGUAAACUGAAUGAAAAACACUUAAACAACUGAUUCUUUGAAUUUCAGGAAGAAUAAAACAAGACAUUAAUGAGAUUGGUAAGGUACUAACACCCACAACAUAAGAUCCAUGGGCAAUAGAAAUAUUAUAGACGGUGAAGUAUUAAACCAUUCCAGGUACCAUAAAAUAGAAAUAGGAGUCAUUUCUUACCGCAAACCAGCUACAGUAACUCAUAAGUUCAUCCGUAUCAAGAAACUUGCUUCUAAAUGCACUACCUUCCAAGGCCACAAGAACAAGUUUAAGUUCUAUACGCCGCAGAAGAGCAGUCUUUUCAGCAACCUAAAGAAAUAGAAGGACCAUGAUUUAAGAGCAUAUUGGCAGACACAACUUAAGUUUAAAAUAAAAACCAUUAACAACAACAUAAAUUUCGCAAGCAAAUACAUGCAGACAGGAACAAUAAAACCAAAUAUAUGUAGGCAGUAAAAGCCAAAAUACACAGCGGCAGUCAACAAUUGUCUGCAUCAUAUGCCCCCAGGUCUCCAGUUUCUUAUCCAGAUAUGCAAUCAAUAGAGUUGAUAAGUAUCACCAUUAUUUCAUACUUGGCAAUAAUUCAGUUAUUAUUUGUGGAUCCUUUUCAGAAAUUCUCAAAUUAGACUUGUAUGGUGUUGAGUCGAGUUUGAGCUAUUGAGCAGAUCAAAUUCGAGUACUUUAAUGCUUGAUUAGAGUAUCACACGAGUUUGAUUGAGGUCUUUUGACCUUUUAACUAUACUGGAAAAUCUCAUUUCAAACUGGAGCUUAAGCUCGGGAAUAAAUAAUAAAAUUGAAAACCGACCUGAAACGAGAUAUUUGGACAAUAUAGAAUGCAAGUUCAAAAACCACGGUUACACAAAACCAAACCAAGUUCAGAAACAACCAGCAUAUAAGCAAAUCAACUAAAUCUUGCAUUGCAAUAAAGCAUGUUUUCUAUUUAACAAAGAAGAUUAAGUUACUAUGUCACAGAAACCUACUUCAAGAUGUAAGAUUACUAAUAGAAGCUUACAUGGCAAUUUCCUAACUAGAAUGCGAGCUUUCUCUAUACGUUUCAGAUUUUUGUGCACUCCUCUUCCUGCACUAUACCGGUUCUAAUCCUUUAUAAAAGAAAAAUAAGAAAAAUAAAAUUGCAUAUAAGAAAAAUGAAAUUAUAGCUCCAAAGUCCAAAAUAGACAUCAAUAAUUACCACCACAAAGAUAGCAAACUACCGAAGCAUUUCACUGGUUAAAGCAAUUUCAAAGAGGAAAACUGGUUCGGUACUAUCUCAAGGAUAAUUUAUUUAAAUUAUAUACUCCAUUGACUUGGUGAAUAUUUGAUUCUCUAAUAUAGUAUAAGUAGCUAGUUAUUAAUAUUAGAAGAAAUGACAAAACAAAAUUAUUAUUAAUUUUUCUUCAAAAAAUAGUAAAUAUGAAUUUGAAUUAGAAAAAAAUUUAAGAAAUAUAGGGCCAGCCAAAUGUUGCUAAGAGCACAAGGUAUUCUAGGCACUAGAACCCUUUAUAUUACUCAAAAGGCAAGGUGUGGAAAAAGCACUUGCCACAGACGAGGCAAUAUAUAUAAAUUUGUGUUUUUAUGUGUGACCGUGUACAUAUAAAUUAGAUUAAGAUAUGAUAGCAAACAUUAACAACUGGUCCCUUUUAUCUAAAAAUCAUGCAAAAAAUUUUUAAUCUUUCAUUGGCCAAUACACAUGAUUUCCUAAUAGUCCUUGUUAUUGAAUACACAUACACUUGAUCAUAUUCAUUUACACCUUGGUCUAAUGCACCUACCUUGGUCUAAUGUAAACUGAAAGAAAAUUAUACCUUAAGACAUGUAUCAACAUCUUUUAGAUCACUCAAGUUCUCAGAUUCAAUGUAUUCCGUGACAAAACCAAAUUAUAGUCCUCACUAGAAAUAUGCAAAUUUGGGCUAGCUGCCCCAUGAUGCACGUACUGCUUUUGAACACAAAGAGAGCUGCUUCACCAAAAACUGCAGUUGCUUCUUCAGCAGCACCUAAAAUAAUCGAACACAAAAGAACAUAACUUAAAUAUCAAUGAACAUAUGAGACCAAGUACUAAAUGAUACUAGAACAAGAUCACAUGGAGAGAUAAAGAGAAAUAUUGAGUGAAUAAAAAAUCAAGCCAAUCUAAAACAAUCUGCAGAGCCCUUUAAGUGACAAACCUAAUAUGCUCAACUUAUUUUAUUUCUGACCUUUAGAAGACCCACAUCAAGUUGAACAAAACUUGUCAUAUGGAAAUACAUUAGUAAUGUUCACACUAAAUAAUAAUACAAAAAUCCUGGAGAGUUCAAUUUCUAUUAAAAGGGACUAAAACAGUUAGUGUUCUGUUCUACUUUGCAAGUCUAAGAUAAUGGAGAGUUAAACAUACUCAGUGCUCCUUGAAUUCCUAGGAACUAUAAUUAUUGGAGUGUCAAAUGUAAGAUCCAGCUUCAAAGCAGCAGCCCCAUCAAUUUCAGAUUUCUGAAUUAACCACUCAAAAUCGCCAACUUUAUCAACAAGUUUUAUUACUUCUUCUGUAUGUGGGGUAGCAAGCUCCAUGAAGUAAACUGUUAUCUGCCAAACCAAGUUUCUUGAAAUUUAUAGACCUAAAUUUUGACUAUUUGUGAAAGUGAACUUCAAUUGUUAAAUGUUAAGGUUUAACCAUAAUAGGAUGAUGGUAAUGCUAAAACUGCACAGUUUAAACUGUAUCCCAUCAUACCUCCUGGACAAACCUACAAAGAAAAACAAUUCGAACAGCAGAAAGUCGCCCACACAAGCGGUAGUUGUACCCUUCAUAAUCAUCAUCUCCAGCACUGAAAGAAUUAAAUUUAAACUGGAAGAAGGAAAAUGUGAAGUAAGCAAGCAUGCAUGAAUACAAUAAAAAGUAACCUAAAUGACUCAAAUGCUAAUAAACAUAUAUCAAUGAGGAAAAAAAUGUACCUUUAUAAGGGAUUCAACCCUUGGAUUUCAACUCUAGGAUUCAACUCCCGGAUUUCGUCUAUCACUUAUCCUUUAAGAAAAAACUGUUAUAAAACAAUCAAAAGAACAAAAACCCAGAGAGCUAAAAGGAAAAUUAUAUUUAUUUAUACCGAUUUAAUCUUAUAGACUACAAUAUUUUGAUUUGCAUACAGAUAAGCAUCCAUAGUGCAGUUCAGAUUCAACUAAAUUGAACAAAGUUUAAGAAAUUUCAGACCCUAAAAAGUGAAAGUAAGAAGGAAAAAAUAUAGAUGAGUACUUGAAACGAUUCUUCUUUGUUUUUUUAGUCGACAUCAGAGUCAUCAAAAUCGUCUUUGAAGUUGUUGAAGAAAUCGGCAUCGGCGAGCUUGUUGUCGGAAGUGAUGACUCCUUCGUCGAAGAUCUCCGGUGUGUCAACAUCAUCGGCUUCCAUGGCUGAAUCUUUCGGGAAAUCUUUUGGGAAAAUUUGGAUUUUCCUGAAAAAUACACCGACCGGAUAAACGAGAGAAAAACAAAGAUGGUGGUUGAGAAGAAGAGGAGCUUAACGAUGAUGAUGAAGACGUGGUGGCGGAGAGAAACACCUAAAGGGUGUUUUUAGGAUACCAAUUUUAGGGGGGGAAAUUAGGGGUUUUAGGGGGGAAAUUAGGGAAAAAAAGGCGCAAUUUUGAAUAAAAUGAUACCGUUUUGUUCUGCUAAAAAUUUCUACUAUUUUUGUAUUUAUCAAUUUUUUAAAAUCUAAUAUUUAAAUAUAUUAAAUAUUUUAGAUUAAAUAUUUUUAAAUAUAAAAGCAUUAAUUAAUUAUAUAAAAUUUCAUCAUUUAACAAAUAUCAAGUAAACCUUAAAUCCUAAACCAUUUAAUAUAUAUAAAGUUUACUUAUUACCUCUUAAAUAAUUUAAACUAUAAUCAUAAUUUUAAUAUAUUAAAAUUAAAAUGAUCUCUUUUACAAUUAUAUAAGAAAUUAUUUAAUAUAUAAAUUAAAAACACUAAUUAAUCUAAACCCUAAACUCUUAACCUUUAUCCCCUAAACCUUAAAUUAUAAAACAUAAACCCUUAAACCCCUAACCCCUAAAUCCUAAACCCCUAAACCUUAAACCUCAACCCUUAAACCAUAAAUCAUAAACAAUAAUCCCUAAACCCAUAAUCCCUAAACUAUAAUGAUAAUUAAUUCAACAUUUUAAAAUUAAUACUAACUCUUUUACUAUUAUAUAAGAAAUUAUUUAAUAUAUAAAUAUCAAACACGUCAUAGACACUUAAAACUUUGAGAUAGUUAUAGUACUAUUUUUUAUUUCACUUAUAGGAACCUCAUAUACUCAAGCACUGCAAGUCUUUUGUGAAUUAACCAAUGCUUAUGAAGAUCUACUACUUACGGUUAUCAAUGCCAGCUGGAAUCACAAAUAUUAACAAGAAUCAGACAUAGAUAGCAAAAUUAAUCAAGCACUUUCAAGGGACAUCAUUCUAGCAGUUCUUUAAAGAAAUGGAUUUCAAUCCAGAAUUCAGUAGUUCUGUAACUAGCCUAGCAGAUAGAUGGAAAAAUAAUAUUUAUUUUAGAGAUCAGUCUACCUCUUAAGUGGAAUAACUUUCUGUAAGCUUUAACCUUGUGAACUUUUUUAUUAAUAUAUUUCUUCUAAUACUUCUUAGAGAUAAUCACAGACAAGAGAUUCAACCAUUAAGAUUCAAUGGAUGGUUAAUAUAAGACCAAACAAAGACAAUGCAUCUAAUUUAAUAAGUUAAGCCAUGCUCACGAACAAAGCAAAGAAGAAUUAUAUUCACCUCAAAAACUUCCAUGUGGAAGUAUGAAUUAAUUUCAUUUAUCGCUGCUUUUGCAGGUGCUGUAAAAGCUCUUUGAACGACCAAAAUAGCAUUAUAAACAUUAUCUGCUUGCAUACACUUUGCACAGUUUCUUACCAUAGGAACACCAACCUUUACUUCCGCAGGAAAGAAAACAUAAAUCUAGAGACAAAAAUACCAUCAGUACAUCAACAUUGAAGUUAUAAAAUUAUUUGUAACAAAAAAGUAAAGAAAAAGGAGUUGCUCUUAUUUCUAAUAUUAGAGUUAAAAACAAUGACCCGUUCUAGCUAUGCAAUCUUUUACAACAAGAAAGUGCAAACUCAUGCAGACAGUUUAAAGAACUCUAAACAUUUCAAAAAUUUCAAAUAUGGGCUUCUGAUUUAUAAACUGAUGAUUCUGAAAUAACUACACAGCUUGCUAAUUUGAUAUGCUUAUUACCUUGUAUAAGAAAUUAUUUAAUAUGUAAGUUAAAAAAAACUCAGUAAUGUACCCAAAAAACUUAAAAUUAUUUUAAAUAAUAUUAUUUUAAUUUUUCUAUUUUUAACAAAUAUUUUUCUAUGUUUUUAUUUCAAAUUAUUUCUACGUGUCAUUAGUUUUUUGUGAAGAUUUUGAAUAUUCAAUUAAAAAUAAUUUGAAUUUUAAUUAAUAUAAACAAACCAAUUAAAUAAUAAAUAGAGAGAUAAAAUAUUUUAAAGACCAAAGCAUUAGCGGCGCUUCUUCAAAAACGCCACUAAAGACCAGAGCAUUAGCGGCGCUUUUCCAAAAACGCCGCUAAAGCCCAGAGCAAGCCUAGAGCAUUAGCGGCGCUUCUUCAAAAACGCCGCUAAAGCCCAAAGCAUUAGCGGCGCUUUUCCAAAAACGCCGCUAAAUCCCAGAGCAAGCCUAGAGCAUUAGCGGCGCUUCUUCAAAAACGCCGCUAAAGCCCAGAUCAUUAGCGGCGCUUCUUAAAAAACGCCGCUAAAGGUCCAAAAACUCAAAAAACGACAUUUUUAGCGGCGCUUAUUGGAAAACGCCGCUAAUGCUCAUUUUUAGCGGCGUUUUCCAAAAAACGCCGCUAAUGUUGGAUCUUUAGCGGCGUUUUAGAAAAAACGCUGCUAUUGCUUGAUUUUUAGCAGCGUUUUUUAUCCGAACGCCACUAAAAACGCCGCUAAAAGCCUAUUUUGGUAUAGUGCCGCAGUGAACAUGGACAAUCAUGUCAUGAUGCAGAACCAGAAAAUGGUGCCAACUCUCCUUCUUCUCCCCCUCUUUCUUCCAAAACUAUAUCCUCGAAUCCUCAAAAAUGGUGACAUCAAACUUCCUUUUGUUUAUAAAAGGUUCACCCCUCACAUUACAGGGUCCUGUUCGUAUCUCAAGGCAAUCAAACAUGGAAUCCAUAUAUAUGAUUCUUCCCCAAUCCUUGUUGUAGAUUCUUUGGGGAUACAAGCCUUUUUGUUUGUAUUUAAAUACAAAAAAGGGAAAAUGAAAAGCGCCAUCUACAACUGCAUGCUAAUGAUUGCCAAAAUCACUGUUUGUUUUGUCGGAAGGCUUUCAAUCUUGCGGGGUCUUGAAGAGCCUGUUUCAGUAACUUGCCAUUAAUUCUCUCAUACAUUCCAAUCCUAAAAAAUGCUUCCAUCUUUUAGCUGCAACAGUUUAUAAUCAUCAGAAAGGUCUAGUCAGAAUAAUAUUACCUUCUCCUUUUUAACAGUUUUUUUUUUUUAAAUCAUGCCACUACAACUGUAGCUGCGCUCAUGUCAACAAUUAAUUCCUAUAAUCGACAUCAAAAUUAUAUGAAAGAAUUAACAUUUGGAUACCGAGUUACCAUAUUUGAAGAUAAGGCGAAAGGUAAAAACACAAAAGGCAAGCAUGACCAAGCAAACAAGGUAUGGACAUUGAUUUUUUUGAAUCGGGAAUGGCCAAAUGGGACCGUGAAGAGGUGACAAAGGAGAAAUCAGGCAUUCACGGUUUCCAUUGGAUGAAAUGAGAUAAGAUCACUGUGCUUCUUCCACGUGGCAGGUUGCCAAAGAUAAGGCUUUACCAUUCAAGAAAAGUUUCCACCCUCUUUGUGGUCAUUAUGGUUGUAAUGUCAUCUGAUUUAGGAUCCAACGGUCACCCUUUCUCCUAAACCAAUCUCUAAAUGUGGUGAGCUUAGGCCAAAUUUAAUGACUAUAUAUAGGGGAUUGCACCAAGGCAGUCACACUAUUAAGGGAUCAGUGAGACUCUUUUGUAUACCUGUAGCAUAUAGUAAUAGUAAGCAGUAAUAGCAAUGGCCUCCUCCAUGAUCUCAUCGGCAACCAUUGCCACCGUGAACCGCUCCUCCCCGGCACAGGCCAACAUGGUGGCCCCCUUCACGGGCCUCAAAUCUGCCUCUGCUUUCCCAGUCACCAGGAAGGCCAACAACGACAUCACUUCUCUUGCAAGCAACGGUGGGAGAGUGCAAUGCAUGCAGGUACUUGGUGAUGCAUAAAUACCACUUAAAUUACCCCAAGUGUUUGAACACAACAAAUUACAUAAAUUGAAUCAAAUAUAUAUCUUGGCUUUUGAGUACAGGUGUGGCCGCCUCUUGGGAAGAAGAAGUUCGAGACUCUCUCAUACCUGCCCGAUCUUACUCCCGUACAGUUGGCUAAGGAAGUAGAUUACCUUCUUCGCUCUAAAUGGAUUCCUUGCUUGGAAUUCGAAUUAGAGGUGUUUUGGAGCUCUAAAUUAUUCCAUUCCUCCUCUUAAUUUUUUUAGUGGGAUAUUUGAGUUGAUUAAGUGUGUUUUAUAUGUAUGUGCAGGAGGGAUUCGUGCAUCGUAAGUACUCGAACUUACCCACGUACUACGAUGGACGCUACUGGACCAUGUGGAAGCUGCCCAUGUUCGGGUGCACCGACUCGGCUCAGGUGUUGAAGGAGCUUGAGGAAUGCAAGAAGGAAUACCCCAAUGCAUUCAUUAGAAUCAUUGGGUUCGACAACGUUCGUCAAGUGCAGUGCAUUAGUUUCAUUGCCUACAAGCCUGAAGGCUACUAAGUUGUUUACUUCCCUCCUAGGAAUUCCAUUUGUUUCAAAGUUGUACUUAAAUUAAGCCCCUCAAACCCCCCCCCCCUUUUUCUUUUUCUUUUUUAGUUGAGUUAUUUGGCUUGGGGUCUUUCUCUUUGUUUUGUUUUUGGAUUUCCAAUGGAACGGCUGAGAACUAAUGAAUAAAAAGGUAGUUUCUUGCCAUAUUUCAUGAAUCCAGUUCUUCCUCCAUUUUCAGUGCUAAGAUAUUCAUGUUAAGAUAGGAUAAAAAUUAAAAGAAAAAAAGGUGAUUGGGUGGUCUGGCUUUAAAAUAAGAGGAUAAAGAUUUUGUGGACAAGCAACGCUGUGCUGUUGGAGGCUCAUUAUCUUAGUACAUAGGAAUACACCAAACAAACCAUUUAUAUUAAAUUGUUUUAUUAUGACAUCACAAGUUUCUAUUAUUAAAAUAACAACUUAAAA